rnacentral:lncRNA from 1 species
UUUAUUUUUAGUUUUUUGUGUUUUUAUUCUGUUAGGGAAUAAAUAACCCAUAUACCUUCUGUUUGGAUGUGGUUUUGUGUUUUAAUUAGUGUUUGUGCCAAGUUAGACCUAUUGGAUCUUCUUGGAUGAUAGUUAUUUGAUCUUGCUGUCAUUUCCAGAAACUUUGAGUUCAGUGCCCGAAUUAUUAAAAAUCAUCAGAACGUGAUAAAAUACUGAUUCCAAUUGAUGCUGAUCAAUAAACAAAAUUUCUAGGUCGUCUAAUUUUGGUAGAAGUUUUUGGGUUCCAUAAGUUUGCGUUAGUUACAGAUUACUACAGACUGUUCUGUUUUUGACAGAUUCUGUUUUUCGUGUGUUGUUUGCUUAUUUUGAUGAAUCUAUGGUUAGUAAAAUAGUUUAUAAUCCAUAGAGAAGUUGGAAUACAGUAGGUUUAACACCAAUAUAAAUAAAGAAUGAGUUCAUUACAGUACCUUGAAGUGUCUUUUGUUUUCUUUCUCUAACGGAGCUCACAAGAUUUCUAUUGAGUUUUGUGUUGUGAAGUUUUCAAGUUUUGGGUGAAUUAUUUUGAUGGAUUAUGGAACAAGGAGUGGCAAGAGCUUAAGCUUGGGGCUUCCCAUGGCACCCCCAAGAUAAUUCAAGGACACCAAAAAGUCAAAGCUUGGGGAUGCCCCGGAAGGCAUCCCCUCUUUCGUCUACUUCCAUCAGUAAUUUACUUGGAGCUAUAUUUUUAUUCACCAACAUGAUAUGUGUUUUGCUUGGAGCGUCUUGUAUUAUUUGUGUAUUUGUUUGUUAGUGUGCCACAAUCAUCCUUGCUGUACACACCUUUUGAGAAAGCCAUACAUGAAUUGGAAUUUGAUAGAAUACUCUAUGUGCUUCACUUAUAUCUUUUGAGCUAUGUAGUUUUGCUCUUUGUGCUUCACUUAUAUCUUUUGAGCGUUAUAAUUUUUCUCUAUGUGCUUCACUUAGAUCUUUUAGAGCACGGUGGUGGAUUUGUUUUAAAGAAACUAUUGAUAUCUCAUGCUUCACUUAGAUUAUUUUGAGAGUCUUAAUAGCAUGGUAAUUUGCUUAAUAUUAAUAUGCUUGGUAUUCAAGAUUUGUGAAACUUUCUUUUGAGUGCGUUGAAUACUAAGAAAAGAUUGAUACUUGAUAAUUGUUUUGAGAUAUGGAGGUGAUAAUAUUAGAGUCAUGCUAGUUGAGUAGUUGUGAAUUUAAAGAAUACUCGUGUUAAAGUUUGUGAUUCCCGUAGCAUGCACGUAUGGUGAACCGUUAUGUGAUGAAGUCGGAGCAUGAUUUAUUUAUUGAUUGUCUUCCUUAUGAGUGGCGGUCGGGGACGAGCGAUGGUCUUUUCCUACCAAUCUAUCCCUCUAGGAGCAUGCGUGUAAUACUUUGCUUUGAUAACUUCUAGAUUUUUGCAAUAAGUAUAUGAGUUCUUUAUGACUAAUGUUGAGUCCAUGGAUUAUACACACUUUUCCCAUCCUUCCACCAUUGCUAGCCUCUCUAAUACCGCGCACCUUUCGCCGGUAUCAUACACCCACCAUAUAUACCUUCCUCAAAACAGCCACCAUACCUACCUAUCAUGGCAUUUCCAUAGCCAUUCCGAGAUAUAUUGCCAUGCAACUUUCCACCGUUCCGUUUAUUAUGACACGCUCCAUCAUUGUCAUAUUGCUAGCAUGAUCAUGUAGUUGACAUCGUAUUUGUGGCAAAGCCACCAUUCAUAAUUCUUUCAUACAUGUCACUCUUGAUUCAUUGCAUAUCCCAGUACACCGCCGGAGGCAUUCAUAUAGAGUCAUAUUUGUUCUAAGUAUCGAGUUAUAAUUUUUGAGUUGUAAGAAAAAUAAAAGUGUGAUGAUCAUCAUUUUUAGAGCAUUGUCCCAAGUGAGGAAAGAAUGAUGGAGACUAUGAUUCCCCCAUAAGUCGGGAUGAGACUCCGGACGAAAAAAAAGAGGCCAUAAAAAAGGAAAGGCCCAAAUAAAAAAAUGAGAGAAAAAGAGAGAAGGGACAAUGUUACUAUCCUUUUACCACACUUGUGCUUCAAAGUAGCACCAUGAUCUUCAUGAUAAAUAGUCUCUCGUUAUGUCACUUUCAUAUACUAGUGGGAAUUUUUCAUUAUAGAACUUGGCUUGUAUAUUCCAAUGAUGGGCUUCCUCAAAAUGCCCUAUGGUCUUCAUGAGCAAGCGAGUUGGAUGCACACCCACUUAGUUUCUUUUGAUGAGCUUUCAUAUACUUAUAGCUCUAGUGAAUCCGUUGCAUGACAAUCCCUACUCACUCACAUUGAUAUCUAUUGAUGGGCAUCUCCAUAGCCCGUUGAUAUGCCUAGUUGAUGUGAGACUAUCUUCCCCUCUUUUGUCUUCUCCACAACCACCAUUCUAUUCCACAUAUAGUGCUAUAUCCAUGGCUCACGCUCAUGUAUUGCGUGAAGAUCGAAAAAGUUUUGAAAAUGUUAAAGUAUGAAACAAUUGCUUGGCUUGUCAUCGGGGUUGUGCAUGAUUUAAAUACUUUGUGUGGUGAAGAUAGAGCAUAGCCAGACUAUAUGAUUUUGUAGGGAUAACUUUCUUUGGCCAUGUUAUUUUGAGAAGACAUAAUUGCUUUAUUAGUAUGCUUGAAGUAUUAUUAUUUUUAUCUCAAUAUGAACUUUUGUCUUCAAUCUUUCGAAUCUGAAUAUUCAUACCACAAUUAAGAAGAUUUGCAUUGAAAUUAUGCCAAGUAGCACUUCGCAUCAAAAAUUAUCUUUUUAUCAUUUUCCUACUCGAGGACGAGAAGGAAUUAAGCUUGGGGAUGCUUGAUACGUCUCCAACAUAGCUAUAAUUUUUUAUUGCUCCAUGCUAUAUUAUCUACUGUUUUGGACUAUAUUGAGCUUUAUUUUCCACUUUUAUAUUAUUUUUGGGACUAACCUAUUAACCGGAGGCCCAGCCCAGAAUUGUUGUUUUUUUGCCUAUUUCAGUGUUUCGAGGAAACGGAAUAUCAAACGGAGUCCAAACGGAAUAAACCUUUCUGGAACGUGAUUUUCUUCCCGAAUAUGACCCAGGAGACUUGGACCCUACGCCAAGGAAGCUCCGAGGUGGGCACGAGGUAGGGGGGCGCGCCCUACACCCCUAGGUGUGCCCCCACCCUCGUGGGCCCACCGAAGCUCCACCAACGUACUUCUUCCUCCUAUAUAUACCUACGUACCCCCAAAUGAACAGAUAUGGAGCCAAAAACCUAAUUCCACUGUCGCAACUUUCUGUAUCCACGAAAUCCCAUCUUGGGGCCUGUUCCGGAGCUCCGCCGGAGAGGGACGUCAUCACGGAGGGCUUCUACAUCAUCAUAGCCUCUCCGAUGAAGUGUGAGUAGUUUACCUCAGACCUUCGGGUCCAUAGUUAUUAGCUAGAUGGCUUCUUCUCUCUUUUUGGAUCUCAAUACAAUGUUCUCCCCCUCUCUUGUGGAGAUCUAUUCGAUGUAAUCUUCUUUUUGUGGUGUGUUUGUUGAGAUCGAUGAAUUGUGGGUUUAUGAUCAAGUCUAUCUAUGAAUAAUAUUUGAAUCUUUUCUGAAUUCUUUUAUGUAUGAUUGGUUAUCUUUGCUAGUCUCUUUGAAUUAUUCGUUGGGUUUGGCCAACUAGAUUGGUAGUUCUUGCCAUGGGAGAAGUGCUUAGCUUUGGGUUCGAUCUUGCGGUGUCCUUUCCCAGUGACAGAAGGGGCAGCAAGGCACGUAUUGUAUCGUUGCCAUCGAGGAUAACAAGAUGGGGUUUAUUUCAUAUUGCAUGAAUUUAUCUCUCUACAUCAUGUCAUCUUGCUUAAAGCGUUACUCUGUUCUUAACUUAAUACUCUAGAUGCAUGCUGGAUAGCGGUCGAUGAGUGGAGUAAUAGUAGUAGAUGCAGAAUCGUUUCGGUCUACUUGUCAUGGACGUGAUGCCUAUAUACAUGAUCAUGCCUAGAUAUUCUCAUAACUUUGCUCAAUUCUGUCAAUUGCUCAACAGUAAUUUGUUCACCCACCGUAGAAUACUUAUGUUCUUGAGAGAAUCCACUAGUGAAACCUAUGGCCCCCGGGUCUAUUCUCAUCAUAUCAAUCUCCAUCACUUUAAUUUUGCGUUGCUUUUUUACUUUGCCUUUUACUUUUCACUUUGCAUCUCUAUAUCAAAAAUACCAAAAAUACUAUCUAUCAGAUCUCACUCUCGUAAGUGACCGUGAAGGGAUUGACAACCCCUGAUCGCGUUGAUUGCGAGGAGCUAUUGCUUUUGUGUAGCUUCGAGGGACUUGCGCAUGGCCUCCUACUGGAUUGAUACCUUGGUUCUCAAAAACUGAGGAAAAUACUUACGCUACUUUGCUGCAUCAUCCUCUCCUCUCCGGGGAAAACCUACGCAAGCUCAAGAGGUAGCAGACCCCAGCUACACUUACGGGUAUACGCCAGGCUAUCCCUGGCAAUAGACCAACUUAGGCAAAAAGCCUAAGCUUGGGGGAGUACGUAUUUCUCACCGACAUUACAUUUAUGUUCAUACACACUCAUUGCUUGAUGUCGGUGCUCAUACUCUUUCACUGUAAUAUCCAUGCUAGUUUAUUUUUCUUUUUCCUGCUUUCUUUUUGUAUGUUUGAUAAACCUUAAGAAAAACAAAAAAAUAGUAGUAGUUUACUUUCCUGCUGUAGUAGUAAUAACUAAAAAAGAAAACCCAAAAAUAUUUCCCAUUCUUCUUUUGCUUGUUGGGAGCUUUCCCGUGUAAAUAGUUUUUAUUUUCUUUUCUUUUCUUUGGGGGUCAGUAGGAGAAGACCAUGAUUAAAUUGUUGUAGUGGCUCUUAUAUGCAUUAUUGUUAAAUUAACCAAAAGCCCAUAUUGCUUUGUCUUCUCCUGUUUAUUGAAUGCUCGCAGAUUCCAGCUUAGUCCAAUGCACGUGCACUCUUAUUAUUAUUCACAUCGUUCGGUCGUGAAAGUGAAAGGCGAUUAUGAUGAUAUAUGAUGGACUGACUGAGAGGAGAAAAGCUGGUAUGAACUCGACCUCUUUUGUUUUUGUAAAUAUGAUGAGUUCAUCGUUCCUGAUUCAGCUCAUUAUGGAUAAACAUGUUUGCAAUGACAAUUAGAGAUCAUAGUUGCUUGUGCCAUGCUUGAUUAGCUAUGAGUUAUAAUGGUUUACCUUGUGUGCCAACAUGCUAUCGAAAUGGUUAUAAUGUGGUAUAGUGGGGUGGUAUCUUCCUUUGAACGAUUUAAGUGACUUGACUUGGCACAUGUUCACGCAUGUAGUUGAAACAAAUCAACAUAGCCUUCACGAUAUUUAUAUUCAUGGUGGAUUAUAUCCUACUCAUGCUUGCAUCCAAUGUUUAUUAAUUUUAAUGCAUGUACAUGGCUGUUGUCGCUCUCUAGUUGGUCGCUUCCUAGUCUUUUGCUAGCCUUCACCUGUACUAAGCGGGAAUACUGCUUGUGCAUCCAAUCCCUUAAACCCCAAAGUUAUUCUAGAUGAGUCCAACAUACCUUCCUAUAUGCGGUAUCUACCUGCCGUUCCAAGUAAAUUUGUAUGUGUCAAACUCUAAAACUUCAAAUAAACAUUCUGUUUUGUAUGCUCAAAUAGCUCAUGUAUCAACCAAGGCUGCCCUUAUCUUCCAUGUUAGGCGGGUUAUUCUCAAGAGGAGUGGACUCCGCUCCUCACUCACGAGAAAAUGGCUGGUCACCGGGAUGCCCAGUCCCAUGCUUUAUGCAAACUAAAUCAAAAUUAAUUGCAAACAAAACUCCCCCUGGGACCUGAUGUAUGUUGGAGGCACUCAUUGUUUCGAGCAAGCCAUGGAUUGAUGCUUGUUGGUGGAGGGGGAGUACAAACUUUACCAUUCUGUUUGGGAACCGCCUAUAAUGUGUGUGACAUGGAAGAUAUCGCCAUCUUUUAGUUGUUAUGUUGAAAAUGAAAGUAUACCGCUCAAAAUAUAAUUUAUCUCUAUUUCAAAACCAAGCUCUGGCACCUCUACAAAUCCCUGCUUCCCUCUACGAAGGGCCUAUCCAUUUACUUUUAUGUUGAGUCAUCACCCUCUUAUUAAAAAGCAUUAGCUGGAGAGCACAGCUAUCAUUUGCAUUCAUCAUUGUUAAUUUAUAUUGGGUAUGACUAUGAUUGGAUCUCUUUUACCAUGAAUUACAAUGUCUAGUCAGUCCUUGAUCUUUAAAGGUGCUCUGCAUUUAUGUUUUGCGGUCUCAGAAAGGGCUAGCAAGAUACCAUCUUGUUAUAUCAUAUUGUGAUUGUUUUGAGAAAGUGUUAUCAUCCGAGAUUUAUUAUUAUGGCUCGCUAGUUGAUUAUGCUAUUGAUAUGAGUGAUUGAGAGACCUGAGAAUUAUUACAAAUGUGGUUAGUUAUAAUCUUAGCUGAAAACUUGAAUGCUGGCUUUACAUAUUUACAGCAACAAGAGCAAACAGAGUUUGUAAAAGUUUUUCUUUCUCUUUCAGUUUGUCAACUGAAUUGCUUGAGGACAAGCAAGGGUUUAAGCUUGUGGGAGUUGAUACGUCUCCGUCGUAUCUACUUUUCCAAACACUUUUGCCCUUGUUUUGGACUCUAACUUGUAUGAUUUGAAUGGAACUAACCCGGACUGACGCUAUUUUUAGCAGAAUUGCCAUGAUGUUGUUUUAUGUGCAGAAAACAAAAGUUCUUGGAAUGACCCGAAACUCCACGGGAUGUCUUAUAAAAAAUAAUAAUAAAUCCUCGCCAAAGUUGAAGACCAGGGGGGCCCACACCCUGUCCACGAGGGUGGGGGGGGGCCUACCUCGUGGCCCCCCUGGACACCCUCCGACGCCAACUCCAACUCUAUAUAUUUGCUUUCAGAGAGAAAAAAAAUAGAAGAGAAGAAAUCAUCGCGUUUUACGAUACAGAGCCGCUGCCAAGCCCUAAAACCUCUCGGGAGGGCUGAUCUGGAGUCCGUUCGGGGCUCCAGAGAGGGGGAUUUGUCGCCGUCGUCAUCAUCAACCAUCCUCCAUCACCAAUUUCAUGAUGCUCACCGCCGUGCGUGAGUAAUUCCAUUGUAGGCUUGCUGGACGGUGAUGGAUUGGAUGAGAUUUAUCAUGUAAUCGAGUUAGUUUUGUUAGGGUUUGAUCCUUAGUAUCCAUUAUGUUCUGAGAUUGAUGUUGCUAUGACUUUGCUAUGCUUAAUGCUUGUCACUAGGGCACGAGUGCCAUGAUUUCAGAUCUGAACCUAUUAUGUUUUCAUGAAUAUAUGUGUGUUCUUGAUCCUAUCUUGCAAGUCUAUAGUCACAUAUUAUGUGUUAUGACCCUACAACCCCGAAGUGACAAUAAUCGGGAUACUUCUCGGUGAUGACCAUAGUUUGAGGAGUUCAUGUAUUCACUAUGUGCUAAUGCUUUGUUCCGGUUCUCUAUUAAAAGGAGGCCUUAAUAUCCCUUAGUUUCCGAUAGGACCCCGCUGCCACGGGAGGGUAGGACAAAAGAUGUCAUGCAAGUUCUUUUCCAUAAGCACGUAUGACUAUAUUCGGAAUACAUGCCUACAUUACAUUGAUGAAUUGGAGCUAGUUCUGUGUCACCCUAUGUUAUGACUGUUACAUGAUGAACCACAUCCGACAUAAUUAUCCAUCACUGAUCCGGUGCCUACGAGUUUUCCAUAUACUGGUUCUCGCUUAUUUAUUUUCCCGUUGCUAUUGUUACAAUCACUACAAAAUAGCAAAAAUAUUUAUUAUUGCUUGCACUACUCUUUUGUUACCGUUACCACCACUAUCAUAUUACUUUGCUACUAAACACUUUGCUGCAGAUACUAAGUUUCCAUGUGUGGUUGAAUUGACAACUCGGCUGCUAAUACUUGAGAAUAUUCUUUGGCUCCCCUUGUGUCGAAUCAAUAAAUUUGGGUUGAAUACUCUACCCUUGAAAACUGUUGCGAUCCCCUAUACUUGUGGGUUAUCAGACUCUACUAGUAGAGUGCCCGUGCAUUGCCACGUGCUUUUAAAAUAUUUUGCUGGAGUUAAAUUUCACAUGUAGAGAUAAUAUGACACAGACACAAUCAUAAUAAUUGAAGUCCACUUCACUUGCAAUGUAAAAAAGCAAAUUGACUAUGUAUACAUAUAGAGUGAUGAUCCAGGAGAGUCAACAAAAUUUAUUACCACUAUAUGCUCGUUGGAAUACAAAUGUUACCAUCUAGAUAUAUCGUAAUUACGACCGAGUUUGCUUUAUUUCGAGUGCUUCUUUGAAUUCCCUCGCAAAACCUUUUAAUUUCACUAAAUGCCUUCGAGUUUUACACUCUGACGACUAUGAUGUAUGAAUAGGGACCAAAAUAUAUACAUGAGUGCCUCUUUGUCGGUGACGUAUAAGAUGUAUCAUCCGAUGAGUGCAUACAGAAGAUAAAUGUACAAGUGGUAGCUAUUAGAAACAAUAAUAAACCAUGACAACAACGGACAAACACUACAAAAAAAAGAUACAUCCGUGACAUUUUGGGCCGAACGAAAUUUUUUUCUGUCAUACAUAUGACACUUCUAUGAUGAUAAUUGUGACAAAACCCGGUAUCAUCAUAGAUGUGGUGGGCUCCUACUUCUAUGACAAAAAAUCAUGACAGAAAAUGGGCUUUUCGUCCUGGGCGGGCCGGAGACGCAGCUGCAUGACAUUCUUGGGCCGUCCAUGACGGAAAAAACCGUGGUAGAAGCGAGGGGGAGGAAAAUUUCAGGGAGUUCCCGGUUACGGUGGGAGGUCGCGGGCCAAGCGAUGCGUGUUUCUCUCGUACACAUACGCGCAUGUGUGCGAGGCGUUGGCUCUAACUGAACCCGAGCGAGGCGUUGGGAUCUAACGGAACCCGAGCGAUUGCACUUUAGGCUACGCGUUACUGAACCCGAACGAUCGAUCGAUGGCUGUUAACUGAACCUGAUCGAGCGAUUCCUUGGCUACUGUUGCUAACUGAAGCUGAUCGAUGCUGCCCCUGGAUGAACAGUGAGCGUUGCGGGGGGGGGUGGAUGAACAGUUCCCGAUGGGGGUGGAUGAACAGGACCCCCGUGGUGUUGCCUCUGGAUGAAUAGGACCCCGUGGUGUGGUGGAGGGCUGGAUGAACAGUAGAUGGUGGAGGGGUGCCCGUGGAGGGAUGGAUGAACAGGACCCCGUGGUGUGGAGGGCAGGAUGAACAAUAGACAGUGAAGGGGUGCCCGUGGAGGGGUGGUUGAACAGGACCCCGUGGUGUGGAGGGCUGGAUAAACAGUAGACGGUGGAGGGGUGGUUGAACAGUAGCCGGUGGAGUAGCGCGCGAUGGAGGCUGGAUGAACAGGAGCCCGUGGAGGCUGGAGGAGGUCGACGGUGGAUGAACAGUAGCUCGUGGAGGCUGGAGGGGGUCGACGGUGGAGAUGAACAGUAUCCCGUGGAGUCCCGUUUUGCGGUACGCCACACCCCUCCCGAUGAACAGGACCCCCGUUUCGACCGUAGCGCUCCAACACAAGUCCGUUUCCUCCGUUUUGCGGUACGCCACACCCCUCCCGAUCAACAGGACCCCUGUUUCGACCAUAGGAGGUCUGUUUUCUCCGUUUUGCGGUACGCCACACCCCUCCCGAUCAAUAGGAACCCCGUUUCGACCGUAGGAGGUCUGUUUCCUCCGUUGUGCGGUACGCCAGGCCUCUUUUCCAUCGCCUCUUCCAUCCAAGCCCUCCUGAUGAACACGACCACACAUUCUGUUCCGACCCAGCCGCAUUGCCUCCCGAGGAACACGACCACGCAUUCUGUUCCGACGCAGCCGCGUUGCCUCCUGAUGAACACGACCACGCAUUCCGUUGUCUCCCCAUGAACAUGACGACGACGCUGUUUCUCCGUUUCGACCCAGCCAUGUCAAUGAGCCCUCUCCGUACGUAUGCGCGAGUAGGCGUUCGAGACCCCGCCCGUAUGUACACAUACAUGGCCGUAUUUUCUUUCUUGCACCCUGGUCGCUGUACGUACGUGUACAUGCUACGUGCGCGCCUCUACUACGACACGUGCGCGCGUAUACUACGACACGUGCGUGCCUCUACAUCGACCAGUAUAUAUGUACGUACACGUUCGCGACCAGAAUGACAACGCUACGUACGCUUUGACCAGGUGGGUCCCGAUUGUCAGGCACUUCCUUGCCUGCGAAGAUGUAGCUGGUGGGUCCCAGCAGUCAGAGGGGCGAAAUACGGUGGCCCGUCCGGUGGGUCCCCACUGUCAGGUGGAGGAAUAAUUAUUUUGCAUGUAAUAAGGAGGCACUUCCUUGCUGCGGCCGUGGACCCAGCUGCCAGCCUCUCCACGUACAGUCCACGUCCGAUGGAAGUCGUUCCUUAACCACGUUGAUCACGCCGCACCGAGAGCACCAGGGCGGUGGACGACGGCGAGGCCUAGAAAGGGGACGACAUGGAGCCGGGGAAGACGCGGCAGUGGAAGCCCGCGCGCGCGGAGAGAGGAGUACGAGGGUUCACUGGUUCAGCUGCGGUGUGAGGCUGCCGUCGCCGCAGGGCCUGGCCAGCGGUGGGAAUAGUAGGGGGCAGUGAGGCCUCCACGGCAGCACAGCCGGCCACGGGAGGCAAGAGCAUGCGGCACGACCGGCGCUGCUUUGGGCGGCUGGAGCAAGAAGACCAGAGGUUGAAGAAGCACUACGGCCGUUGGAUGGACAUCGUACGGUCACUGGAGUUAGAAUUGUUCAUAUUGACUAAGUUGACAAAUCCCUUCGUCCCCGUCAACUUAGUAGGCCCACAAGUCAGCCUCCCACCAAGGUGGGUCCUAGCUAGCUGGGGGAGUAUUCAUUUUUUUGUGCGUAAUAAGGAGGUACUUCCGGUGGGUCCGNNNNNNNNNNNNNNNNNNNNNNNNNNNNNNNNNNNNNNNNNNNNNNNNNNNNNNNNNNNNNNNNNNNNNNNNNNNNNNNNNNNNNNNNNNNNNNNNNNNNNNNNNNNNNNNNNNNNNNNNNNNNNNNNNNNNNNNNNNNNNNNNNNNNNNNNNNNNNNNNNNNNNNNNNNNNNNNNNNNNNNNNNNNNNNNNNNNNNNNNNNNNNNNNNNNNNNNNNNNNNNNNNNNNNNNNNNNNNNNNNNNNNNNNNNNNNNNNNNNNNNCGGGUCCCAGCAGUCAGGGGGAAACAAUUUUUUUCGCAAAAUACUGGUGGCCCGUCCGGUGGGUCCCCGCUGUCAGGUGGAGGAAUAAUUAUUUUGCACGUAAUAAGGAGGCACUUCCUUGCUGCGGCCGUGGACCGAGCUGUCAGCCUCUCCACGUACAGUCCACGUCCGAUGGAAGCCGUUCCUUGACCACAUUGACCACGCCACGCCGAGAGCACCAGGGCGGUGGACGACGGCGAGGCCUAGGAAGGGGACGACGCGGAGCCGGGGAAGACGCGGCAGUGGAUGCCCACGCGUAGAGGAGUACGAGGGUUCACUGGUUCGCUGCGGUGUGAGGCUGCCGUCGCCGCAGAAUAACAGGGGGUGUGGGUGAGUAGAGGGAUGGCCUGGCCAGCGGUCGGAGUAGUAGGGGGCGGUGAGGCCUCCGCUGCAUCGCAGCCGGCCACGGGAGGCAGGAGCACGAGGCACGACCGACGCUGGUUUGGGCGGCUAGAGCAAGAAGACCAGAGGUUGAAGAAGCACUAUGGCCGUUGGAUGGACAUCGUACGGUCACUGGAGCUAGAAUCGUGCAUAUUGACUAAGUUGACAAAGCCCUCCUUCCCCGUCAACUUAGUAGGCCCACAAGUCAGCCUCCCACCAAGGUGGGUCCCAGCUAGCAGGGGGUAUUCAUUUUUUGUGCGUAAUAAGGAGGCACUUCCUUGCGUGCGAAGAUAUAGCUAGUAGGUCCGAGCUGUCAGCGGCGGUAACGUUUUUUUCGCGAAAUACAGAGGCCCUUUCGGUGGGUCCCUGAUGUCAGGUGGAGGAAUCAUUAUUUUGCGCGUAAUAAGGAGGCAUUUCCUUGCAUGCGGCCGUGUACCCAGCUGUCGGCCUCUCCACGUAAAGUCCACUUCAGAUGCAUGUCGGUUGUUGACCAUGUUGACCAGGCCGCGCCAAGAGCGCCAGGGCGGUGGACGACGGCGAGGCCUAGGAAGGGAACGACACGGAGGCAGGGAAGACUCGGCAGUUGUUUCCCACGCGGAGGGGAGUACGACUGUACGAGGCCUCGCCGUUGCUGGAGAAUAAUAGCAGGUGUGGGUGAGUAGAGGGAUGGCUAGGACAGCGAUGGGAGUACAGUGGGGCGGUGAGGCAAGCGCGGCAGCAGAGCCGGCCGCGAGGAGGAGGGAGCAGGCAGUCCCGCCGGCGCCUGUUUGAGCGGCUGGAGCAUGAAGAGCAAAGAUUGAAGAAGCACGACGGCCGUUGGAUGGCCAUCCAACAGUCACUGCUUGUGCGUCAACUUUUUUUAGGAAAGACUCAAAUCUGUAGGAAACAGCAUACAUCCCAUCUGCCAUUAUUUCUAAUAAUUUACAGCCCAUUUGCUAAUUAUUAAGGUUUUUUGAGCCCAUAUUCUUUUUGUUAGCAUUACAGCCCAUAUUGUGGCCACGUUUAAUAAAUUAUACGAAAUUUUGCAUAUUUUGGUGCGGUCCGAACUAUUUUUAAUCCCGAAAUUUCGACUCACAUUCAAACUGAUUUUAAAAAUAAAUAUAUGUCAAUAUAAAAUCCAACAAAUUCUCCACGCAUAAAAAUUAAUGUAAUUUCAAAUCUUGAAAUGAAAAAAAGAUAUUUGAAACUAAUUGCCGGUUUGAUGUGUUUUAAAAAUGUACGACCCAUUUCUCAUUACUGAUGGGCCAUUUUCUCGGCCAGCCGAAUGGAAGCUCUCCUCCUCGUCUUGAAAGAUUUUCAGCCCAACAGGCCUGACAAAGCGACAUCCUUGACAAAUCACAAAAAAACUGGGCUAUGGCCAUGGACCCAGCUGUCAGCAUCUCCACGUGCAGUACUCUUCCGAUGGAAUGUCGUUGACCACGCCGCGCCGAGAGCACCAAGUCGGUGGACGACGGCGAGGCCUAGGAAGGGGACGGCGUGGCCAGGGAAGACGCGGCAGUGGAUGCCCACGCGGAGAGGAGUACGAGGGUUCACUGGUUCGGCUGCGGUGUGAGGCUGCCAUCGCCGCAGGGCCUGGCUAGCGGUGGGAGUAGUAGGGGGCGAUGAGGCCUCAUUGGCAGCACAGCCGGCCACUGGAGGCAGGAGCAGGUGGUGUCCCCGACGUUGGUUUGGGCGGCUGGUGCAAGAAGAGCAGUGAUUGAAGAAGCGGCAGGACCGUUUGAUUCAAAUCCAACGGUUAUUGCUGCUAGAAUCGUUUGUUGACUAAGUUGACAAGCCCUCCGUACGCGUCAACUUAGUAGGCCCACAGGUUAGCCUCCCAACCAGUGCGCCCCAGAUGUCAGUGGGAGGAAUCAUUUUUUCGCGUAAUAAGGAGUUGAUUGCGUGCGGCCAGGCCAGCGGAGGGAGUAGGGUGGCCCGGGGAAGCAUGCGCGGCAUCACAGCGGGCCACAAGAGGAGGCGUUGGCCGUUGCAUGGACAUCCAACACUAACUGCUGCUAGAAUUGUGUGUUCACUGACAAAGCCUUGCGUAAACAAGUCAGCCUCGAAAUCCGUAGCGUGUACAGCCCAUUUGCUAUUAUUUUUACUCAAUUUCUAAUUCAUAUGGAAUUUAUUGCGGCCCGUUUUCCAUUUUUAGAAUUGGUGGCCAUUUUCUGGUCAGUACCAGGGUCAAAAAAUUAACUAAAUAUGUGGGAAAUUUUGAAAAAUCGCAAAUUUUUGCUGGGGAACGAAAUAUUCUUAAUCCAAAAAUUAAUAGCCAUAGUAAAACAAAUUUAAAAAUAAAUUAGUACUAUGUCAUGUUAAAUCCAAUGAAAUACGUAUAAGAUAUCAGUGAAGAACAAAAACGAAAAAAGAAACUUAUAUCCCAUUUGCUAUAAUUUUUUUGGAAUUUUCGACCCCUUUUGAUAUUACUUUUAACAGACAUUGACCAUACUCUCAAACCAGGCCGGAAUGCAUCCCUCCUCGUCUUGAAAUAUUUGCAGCCUAGUAAUUCAGAGAAAACAAAUAGGCCUAGCUUGGGUAUUCUUCAAAAAGGAAUACUGGGCUAGCUAUUUUCCCAAAGAACUGGUGCAUGAGGAUUUAGCUUUAUUUAUUUAUUUACUUAUUUAUGUUUAGGGGACCAUGAGCAUGUACCUGGGCCGGAUUCAUGUGAGAGCCUCCCUUCCAGUGAAUUAUGGGCUUCUCUAUUGGGCCUUCAUCAGUGGGCUGCAUGUUAUCAACAAAUGGAAAAUGUGUUCCGAGUUUCAAAAAAAAAUGUGUUCCGUACGAAAAAUAGUAUGUGCUACGUACGGUACGGGGCACUAAAGGAUCGAACCGUGCAACGACUUUCAAAACAUUGUGUUUGUCGUUCUAACAACACAUUUAUUCAACCAACAGACGAAAUAUACUACUGAUCGUACAUUGAAAACAGCAGCAGCAGCAACCAGGGCUGGGGGUGCAACAGAAGCAGUAAGCAGGCCAGAAGAGUGAAGACGCAGCUCUCUCUUUCAAACCAAACAUCAGCCAUCAUUACAAAAGGGCUACCAAAAAAGAACAAGUGUAUGCAUCAAACUAAAUAAAGUUCCUACUACACCAAGUGUACGCAUCUAACUAACUAGCUCAGUUAGACGUUACUAUUUAUUAGGCUGUGGAGAUUGGUUGACGGCUUGAACCAGAUGGGUGCCUGACGGGGGAAACUCCAGCCAGCAGGUCGAAGUCUGAUACUUGCGACCCUCUCUCCUACUUUGGGCUGCAGAGCGUGGCGGCACAUAUCAGGGUAUGGUGCAUGCAGAGACGCACGGUACGCUGUGUACACACAGUUUUGCCUGAUGAACAAAACCGCGCUGCCAUCACGAUCCUUGUCGUCGGUUAUCUCCUGGUUAAUCGGAUAAUUCAGUCCGACAAACAGAGAGCGUGUACCAAGGCUACUUACCAGCCUCCAGUCAAAAAUUCCUGAAGGCCCAGAGAAGCCGGGAUCCUGCUCAAAGACCUUGCAGUGACUAUGAUUGUAUUCCGUGAAACAACACGUCCGGUACGUGCGAACGAUCAUCAAUCUUUUGCCGUCGUCUGAUUGAGCCAGGAACCACCUGCAACUGUCAUGCCGCUUUUCUUUGAAAGGUUCUGGGAUUAGGAAGGGUAGGGACACCAGGCGUCCUACAACAUCAUAUCAAGGUGGAGUCAAAUAAAAAAGGGCUCUUCGUUUAAUUAAUCUUAAGAACAACAUGUUAUGAGCAUGAAUAUUUUUCAGCAAAUGUUGACAGUAAUGUAAGCAAGCCAUCAUGAUAUCAUAGGAAAGUAACAUACUGCUGUAAUAGCCGUUUGUAGCGAUGACUGGAGUAGGCCAGCAAUACGUCCAGCCAUAGAACGAGUCGACGGCGUAAAUGAAGCCCUUGUGUUCAAUGGCAUCAGAGAACCAUGGAGGAUGUAUGAUCCUGCGAUGGACGUGCAGAUUUAUCCACUUACCGCAGUGACCUGUCAGAUAGGCGAGACCACGGUUGAAGAACGCAAUUAGCCUGAAGUCUUUAUAAUUUGCAGAUCUUGUGGGCACUUGGCAGAUUACAACCUUGAGCAAAUCAAACUUGGUAUCAUGUUGGCUACUGUAAGAUUCCAAGUAUUCUGGGCCGCGGUGCCAAAGCAGUGCAGUGUUAAUCGAAGGAAGGGGGAUCAAUCGCCGGGUGUAGACCUCCACGAGCAUCCAGUUGCCGCGACCGUCGACGAGCACCAUCCAAGACGUGUUCAUGCCGACCCAGUACAUACCGUUAAUGUAGUUGAGGCUGGCAGGGAUCGGAUCAUAGUCAAGGGGGUUGAUGCUCGCCACCCUACGAUCGUUAUGCUGCGUGACACGCCGUUUCUGAAGAUUAGGCGGCAUCAUCAAGUAAGGAGCUGGCUUAAAAAGCUCCGGCCUGAGGGCUUUGAGUAAACGGUAUAGCCCUGACGAGCACACGGCGAGAGGCAUGGUACUGAGAUUGUCCACACGCGAAACAAUGAGCUUGAUUACCUCUGUGGGGAGCGAAUUCCAGCCACUCUUUCGGCGGACGCUGCUCAGUUCUACCAUUGUUAGUGCUUGGGUUUCGGACGAGGGGGGGAGGCGCCUUAGCGGGGAUGGAAGAUUGGACGAGCUUAUGUGCGGACAAAGAUGGAGAAGCGAAUAUGUGCUGCGGGAAGUGGAUAGGUGAUGAUGACUACAGCACGUCGCUUGACUUACGAGACACAUACCAGCAGCGUAGGGUCAUGUCAAUGCCAGACAACUUGCUUGAGUGAUCACAGUACUGGUACUCCCUACAGUGCUAUGCCCUAACUUGCUUGAGUAGAGAUUGGCCUACCGGUUAAGAUUUUUGUCAUCAGUGGUGUUACACCAAUGGCGAAUAAUCAAGACAUGGAUCUUGAAUCACUCAUAAUCAAUUUUGAGAGAUAUUGAUUUGAGUGGGAGUGCAUUUUAGAAUAAAAAUGUUCAUUCACUAGUGCAUAUUUCAUUAUAAACAAAGUCUAAGUGAAACUUGUGUUUUCCGUUGUAGAUCAAAUGGCUCGCAACACCGCGUUCAACUUAGGCUCGAUGUUAGAGAAAGAGAAGUUAACUACGACUGGAAACAACUAUGCGGACUAGGUCCGUAACCUGAGGAUUGUCCUCAGGAGCGCUAAGAAAUUGUACGUGCUUGAAACUGCUCUUCCAGCUAAACCGGCGGCAGAGGCCCCGGAAGAUGAACAAAAUGUCUGGGCCACUAAGGAUGAUGAUCACAACUUAGUGCAGUGCCUCAUGCUAGCUUGCAUGAGUCCAGGGCUUCAAAAACGUUUUGAAUUCCAUAAACCCCGUGAUAUGAUCCGGGAAUUGGAUGCUCUGUACAAGGAAACCGCAAAGUCUGAACGAUUUGAUAUCAUGAAGGCUUUGAUGGAAUGCAAGAUGGCUGAGGGUAGUUCAGUUGGCGAACAUGUGGUCAAAAUGAUUGGCUAUUCUGAAAGGCUUAAAGCCCUGGAAUUUCCACUUCCACCUGGCCAUAUGAUGGACAUGUUGCUUUCUUCACUCCCCCGUCUUACGAUAGUUUUGUCAUGAACUACAACAUGACAGGGAUGGAGAAGACACCGGAAGAGGUGCUCGCCAUGCUAAAAACUGCAGAAGGAGGACUGCGGAAAAAUUGCAAGCAAGUGUUUCUUGUGAAUAAAGGCAAGCCAAAGAAGGGCAAGGGCGCCGGUAAGACCGGCUCCCAAAGCAACUCUAAGGGCGGAGCCAAGAAUGAAACUGAGUGCUUCUACUGCAAGGGCACAGGACACUGGAAGAGAAACUGCAAGAAGUAUCUGGAAGAUAAGAAGACCGAGAAAACUGGAAAACGUAUAAUUGUUAUACAAGUUAAUGUCAUUGACGUUUUGCUUGCUAGCGAAAAUUCUAAGUCUUGGGUAUUUGAUACCGGAUCGGUUGCUCACAUUUGCAACUCGAUACAGGGGCUUCAGAAGGUGCGCAAGCUGGCAAAGAAUGAAGUCGUGAUGCGCGUCAGGAACGGCGCUGGGAUCGCCGCUCAAGCCGUCGGCAGUAUGCCUCUACGUCUCCCUUCAGGAUUUAUCUUAGAACUAAGUAACUGUUAUUUUGUUCCAUUGUUGUGUAGAAACAUUAUCUCCGGAUCAUGUUUAGUACAUGAUGGGUAUUCGUACAAGUCUGAGAACAAUGGUUGUUCACUUUAUUGUAAGGAUAUGUUUUAUGGAUUUGCACCCAUUGUUGGGGGACUUUUCAUACUAAAUCUUGAAUGUGGAAAUGAUGUCUUUAACGUGAAUGCUAAACGCCUUAAGAAGGCUGAUACCACCACCACUUUCUUGUGGCACUGUCGGCUUGGCCACAUCAGAAAGAAACGCAUGCAAAGACUCCAUAAAAAUGGAGUUUUACCGUCCUUUGAUUUUGAAUCAUUUGACACAUGUGAAGCUUGCUUGAUGGGGAAAAUGACCAAGACGCCGUUCACGGGUCAUCCUGAACGGGCGGGUGAAUUAUUGGGAAUAAUACAUAGUGAUGUAUGUGGUCCAAUGAACACAGCCGCACGGGGUGGGUAUUUCUACUUCGUGACUUUUACUGAUGAUUUAAGUCGGUAUGGAUAUAUCUACUUAAUGAAGCAUAAGUCAGAAACCUUUGAAAAGUUUAAAGAAUUUUAGAAUGAGGUAGAAAAUCAUCGUGACAAAAAGAUUAAGUUUCUGCGGUCUGAUCGCGGAGGCGAGUAUCUUAGUCAUGAGUUUGGCCAACAUCUAAGUGACCGUUGAAUCGUUUCACAACUUACGCCUCCCGGAACUCCACAGAGAAACGGAGUAUCGGAACAACGUAACCGAACCUUGUUGGACAUGGUAAGGUCGAUGAUGUCUCUUACAAAUCUUCUGAUAUCUUUUUGGGGUCACGCACUACUUACUGCUUCUCACACACUAAACAAAGCACCAUCUAAAUCUAUUGAGACGACACCACAUGAGAUGUGGCACGGGAAGAAACCCGACCUGUCGUUUUUCAAAAUUUGGGGUUGUGAAGCUUAUGUAAAGCGUUUACAGCCAAGCAAACUUGAUCCCAGAUCAGACAAAUGUUACUUUGUAGGUUAUCCCAAGGAGACAGUUGGGUAUUCUUUUUACCACGCCUCCGAGAAAAAAGUGUUUGUUGCAAAACAUGGAGUCUUUCUUGAGAAAGAGUUUCUCACUAAAGAAGUGAGUGGGAGGACAGUACAACUUAAUGAGAUUAGUGAAUCUUCGGCAACCGUUGAUAUGGCUAAGGAACCGGAAGAAAUUCCGCUAAUUAUCCCUACAACCGAGCCGGAAGUUGUCGCAUGUGAUGCGGAGACUUCAGACAAUGUUGUAACUGAACCGGGCAGAUCAGGUAGGGCUAUCCAGCCACCUGAGUGGUUUCAUAACGAAAUCUUCAUUCUUGAAGACGAUGAACCUGCGCACUACAAGGAAGCGAUGGCGGGGCCCAGCUCAAAAGAAUGGCACAAAGCCAUGAGAUCCAAAAUGGAAUCCAUGUACGAAAACCAAGUUUGGAACUUGGAGGAACUUCUAGAAGGCGUAAAGCCGAUUGGUUGUAAAUGGAUUUUCAAAAGAAAGACGGACGUGGAUGGUAACAUUACUAUCCACAAAGCUAGACUUGUCGCGAAAGGGUUCACGCAAGUUCCAGGAGUGGACUACGACGUGACUUUCUCGCCCGUAGCUAUGCUUAGGUCUGUUCGGAUAUUGCUAGCAAUUGCUGCUUAUUUCGACUAUGAAAUAUGGCAGAUGGAUGUCAAAACGGCUUUCCUAAAUGGAAACCUCAAAGAGGAUGUAUACAUGAUACAGCCAGAAGGUUUUGUCAUUCAUGAGGAUGCUGGAAAGGUAUGCAAACUUCAGAAAGCCAUUUAUGGCCUAAAGCAAGCAUCAAGGAGCUGGAACAUUCGUUUUGAUGAAGUGGUCAAAGAGUUUGGCUUCAUCAGGAAUGACGAAGAAUCUUGUGUUUACAAGAAGUUUAGUGGGAGCACAAAAGCAUUUCUAAUCUUGUAUGUGGAUGACAUGUUGUUGAUUGGAAAUGACAUGAAUUUUCUUAGCGAAAUAAAAGACUCAUUGAAAAAGAGGUUUUCAAUGAAAGACUUAGGCGAAGCGGCAUAUGUAUUGGGCAUCAGAAUCUAUAGAGAUAGAUCAAAACGCCUGAUAGCGCUUAGCCAAAGCAUGUACAUUGACAAGGUGUUGAAAAGGUUCAACAUGGAGAACUCCAAGAAGGGCCUUCUCCCCAUGUCACCUGGCACAGUGCUUUGCAAGAAUCAGUGUCCUCGGACUCUCGAUGAGGGAGUGCAAAUGAAUGAUAUUCCAUAUGCCUCGGAAGUUGGUUCUAUUAUGUAUGCCAUGCUAUGUACAAGACCGGAUGUUUCCUAUGCGCUAAGUGUUAGCAGUCGGUACCAAAGUGAUCCAGGAUUGGAACACUGGGCCGUAGUCAAGGGUAUUCUUAAGUACCUCAGAAGGACCAAGGAUUUACUCCUUGUGUACGGAGGUGAUGAAGAGCUCAUUGUAAGUGGUUACACUGAUGCAGGCUUCAUGACUGACCCAGAUGACUUCAAAUCUCAAUCAGGCUAUGUUUUCAUACUUAACAGUGGCGCAGUAGAUUGGAAAAGUUCCAAACAAAAGACUGUGGCGGAUUCUACGAUGGAGGCGGAAUAUGUUGCUGCUUCAGAAGCCUCCAAGGAGGCGAUAUGGAUCAAGCAAUUUCUUGAAGACCUUGGUGUGGUUCCUAGUGCCCAGGACCCGAUGGAGAUCUAUUGUGAUAAUAGUGGCGCUGUGGCUCAGGCAAGGGAGCCAAGUUCGCACCAUAAGAAAAGAGGGUUUAGUGAAAGUACGCAAAGUUCACACGAAUCUGAAUGUGUCAGACCCGAUGACAAAGCCUCUACCACGAGAAAAGCAUGAGCAACACUGGAUAGCCAUUGGUGUUAGGGAAGCCAUGUAACUGGAUUAUGACUCUAGUGCAAGUGGGAGUCUGUAGGAGAUAUGCCCUAGAGGCAGUAAUCUCAGUUAUUUUGUAUCUCCUAGUUUGUAAUGAAGGUUUAUGUUCCAUGCUAUAACUGCAAUGAUUCUCGAGACUGCAAAUAAAACGAGGCUUGGAGGAAACUCAUGUGCACGUGUGGGAUAAUAAACGGUAAAAUGUAUUCCUAGUCAAGCCUCUAUGACUGGCUCAAGUAUUGCAUGAUGAUCCUGUUUUCCUGAUCAUGGGCAUGACUAUGCCGGCAAUUUUGAGGGCACAAUUAUUAGUAGAACACUUGUGUUGAAUCGACCCAAUUUGAUGUUAUGCUAUGAGAUACAUUCGUCACAAGUUAAUGGUUAAUAACACAGAGAAGUUAAUGUUUGCAUAAUUCCUUAGACCAUGAGAGUAUCGAGUUCCUUCAUACUUGCUUGGUGAACUUUGGGGUAUGUUAAACGUCAUCCGUAACUGGGUGGCUAUUACGGCGGCUUACGGGUUCACGGAAAAGUAUUGCAAGUAACGAGAUAGCUUAAGAUUGGGAUUUUCUCCUCCGACGAUGCAGAGAUAUACUCGGCCCUCUCGGUGUAACGGUAUCCAUCAUCGUCUGGCCAGACACAUUGUGAUUUGAUCACUGGGAUGCCGGAACACGGGAACGAGAAAAGAGAACAAAACCGGUAACGAGGUAACUUGCAUGGUGGACAAAUUGUUGAUCCACAGGAAUGCAAUAAAUCUCACCUCAGGUGUUUGUGACAUAUCGCGAAGCAACAGGAAUAGCUCACGGCAAAUGGAGGUUCACUCGAAUAUUCAUUCGUGUGGGUAUAGGGGUCAAUACGGGUGUCCACGGCUCCGAUGUUGAUCAUUGAUCGGAAGAGGUUCCAGGUCAUGUCUAUACUUCACCGAACCUAUAGGGUCACACGCUUAAGGGUCAUCUAUCUGCUGAAUACUAGACAGGGAGUCUGAGAGAAAAUCACCGAAAAAGUUUCGGACAGCGGAAUCGUACUGCAGAGAGAGGUCAUCGGAUGAGUUUCAAUGAUACCGAAAAGUUGUUUCGGGAUAUACCAUUAAGUCAAAUUGGUUUCAGCAAAUGCCUGAUAAUUCUUGGAGGGUGCCAGAAUCAUUCUGGAAGGAGCCACUUCAGAUGCGUUUCAUAGAUGAAAAUCACUAAAACCGGAAUUGUUUCGGAAUGCGUUGAAAAUUAUUAUGGUGGGUACUGGAAAUGUUCUAAGUACACAUAAAUAUUUUCAGUUCGAACGGACGCUGAAAAAUGUCGUCGUGAAUAGUGAAAGUGCUUUUUGGGAUAUUUUAUGGUGAGUCACCUUUUGGGAUAUUUCCAGAAGGCUUCUAGAAGGGCUUGGGGGCCAAGGAUGCUCCUCAUGGGGCCCCCCAAGGGGGUUGGCCGGCCACAAGUGUGGGGCUCCAUGGAGCUCCACUUCCCUCCCCAUUAUGCCCUUCAUGUGUGACAUUUGCAUGGGCAUUUUGGGUUUUUGUGAGCCAUCCCUACCCCUUGGCUUUCCUAUAAAUAGAGGAGGAGUGGGCAGCCCAAAUCUCAUCCCUUGCUCUCAUACACAUGCCAUGCAUUAUCUGGCUUCUUCUCUCCCUCCCAUGAAAAGCGUUUCGUAGAGCCGUAAGGCUGUCUGGGUUCCGGCAGGAACUAGUUCUGGACGGCGAAGCCCUACCGGAUAGCUGACACCGUAUGUGUGCAACCCUGUAGAGAGGUUGUAGUUUCGGUCUUUUGCCCGAGGGGCUGUUCGAAUGUCCUCCCGAAGGGCUGUCCGAGUCUCCGUUCGAGUUUCGAGGGUCCUCCCGAAGGGCUGUCCGCGACAUCGUCCGGGGGACUGUCCGACCGCCUCCCGAAGGGCUGUCCGGUGAGAGAGUACAUCCUCACGGUUGGGAGGUUGUAAAUCCUAGCUGUGGGGUUCUGCACCAACGAUCUCCACCGACUCUUCUUCCGCUGCGCUUCGAGUCGGUACGGAACAGAUCAAACCUUGUAUGCAGUCUCCUUAGUGGUCCUGGGCGUUCUCGCUAUACCGAAAUUUUUUGUUUUCUAUCGCAUUCCCCUACAUACCAAACACGGGAUAUUCGGGACAUCUUAAGCGGGAUACCUAUCGCAUUCCCCUGGGGGUUGCCAUAUUUUCCUUCCUAUCCGUCAGAUAUAAAUCAGACAACCUACAUUGCAGGAUGGCAGGCCCACCAUCAUCACCAACUCUAUUUUUUAUCCCUACUCUUAUAAUAAGCAUUGUCGGUGAUGAUCGUGUGCCUGCCAUCCUGCAAUAUAGGUCGUCCGAUCUAUAUCUGACGGAUAGGAAGGAAACUAUGGCAAUUUUGCAAAAAGAUACCCACACCCCUCUCCACAUUUGCAAAUAAGGCCUUCCCUCGUUCAUCCUUUUCCCCCACAAGAUAAACUACUCAUACAAAUGCAUCUUGAGGGCGAGUGGAGUGGGCAUCUUGCUAGUUGUUGCAAAAAGCCCAUGUGUGUGUGAGAGAGAGGGCGAGUGGAGGAGGACGGAGUGCAUGUGUGUUAAAAACACAAGGAGUGUGUGUGCGUAGGUAUCAGCUUAAAAUGAGGCGAUAGUGUGUGUGUGCACGAUCGAGAGGGCGUGUCUCAAGAAGGGAAGAAAAAUCUACAUAGAUACAAGGAGCAGGGAGAGAGACAUGUAUGCGAUGGUGGAAGCACGAGUGUGCGGGUGUAUAAACCUAUCUAGAGGCUAGCUAGUCGAUAAAUGUUUGUGAGAGAAAUACGAGUCGGGGUGCGAAAGCGAGAGUUUUGUGUGUGAGAGAGAGAGACGGUAGUCGGGAAGGGGAGUGGAAGCAGGAGUUGUGUGUGUGUGUGUGUGUCUAUGAGAGAGAGAGGAGACGGUAGUCGGGGUUGUCUGAUCGGUAAACAAAUGAAUAAUGUCAGUCUGGGGUGGAGACGAAAAGGAGACCACAACAAAUGUUGUGUCUACAGGAGAGAUAGAGAGAGUGAUUUUAGUGGUAUGAGUCAUAUGUAGAGACAUAUAGGGUGUGUGAGAGAAUCCCAUAGAGAGAAAGACAAAGUGAAAGACGAGUGGAGACUGUGUUUGGCGGUGAAAAAGAAAGCUUAGGUACCGAGUGAUACCAGAGAACAGUAGAGACGUGAGAGAUAAUGAAAACCGUGUAAUUUAUAAUGAUAGGGAGAGUGUGACACUUCUCAAGGGAGACCUCGAGAGACCAUGUUUGCAAGGAUAGGAGCAACAUGAAGUGAGCGUGCAGGUGAGCUGGAGAAAAGAGAGUGAUAGCUACCUGAAGGAGCAUGCAUGCGAGAGAGAUGGGCAUGAAAGGAGUGAACAAAAAAGGGAUUCAAAUAUUUGAAUUCGAGAUGAUGAUACAUGUAAUCCAUACUCGAACCAAAAUCGAUCUAUCAAACAUGCAUACUCAUAUGAAUUCACGCACAUCUAUGUUAUUUAAUAUGUAGAACAUAAUUUGGUUAAAUUUUUUCGAAUUCAACCUUAAGAUUUCAAGAUCUUUGUAUUAGUAAAUCAUAUUAUACAUAUAAAGGAGCAGAAUUCUUUGUUGUGCUUUUGAAAGUAUAUAUAAAAAGAAUGAUGUAUAUAGAAUGUAAUUCCAAUUGAAAAUGGAUCCCGCCCGGAAAAAAAGAAUACAAACGGCAUUCGAAUUGAGUUGGCACGGUAAACGUGCACUCUGCAAAAUUUGAACGAAGCGGGGAAAGUCGCAGUAACUGCCCGAAACCAAAAUCUGCGAGAUAGAAAUCACUACUGCCUAUCCCUGCCACGCAAAGCCUAUAUGCUGGAUUUCUAUAGGUUUCGAUAGGGGUAGGUUUGUAAUUUCACCCAAACGUGACGUAACCGCCUCUCACCUGGAUUCAUACACGGUGGGCGCCAAAACACAGUGUGUCCUCGGCCGAAAUCGACUCCCUCCCUGAUUCAUAUUCAUACACGGUGGGCGCCAAAAACAAACUCUCGUCGGCAAAUUUUUGGUGUAUGCGAGAUUACCGUCCUAUCCCCAACCGACUAGUGUUGUUGUGAUGUAGUAGAAAUUUGAAACGGGGGCUAAGUUUGUAAAUUUCCUCGCAUUUGAGACAAGCGCACCCUGAAUACAUGGUUCCCCCCUUCCUCUCUACCUCCCUUUUCCCCGUUCGUACUCCGUGGGCGCCAAAACACCCUCUCCACCCCACCCUCCUUCGUCUGCCGCCCCGUCCGCCACCCCAUCCACCGCCGUCCUCCUCCACCAUGCCGGAGCUGAUACCCCGACGCUGCCGUCCAUUACAAGAGAUCGACCUCUCUCAUCCACGGCUUCGGACCGGGAUCCUUGCAUCCUGUCCUCUCGCUUCAUCCCCGCCGUCGUCCACCUUGCCGGCGCCGCUCCUACGACCUCGUCCACCGCGCCCCGCCGCCACCGUCUACCCUCCUAGAUCUGCUUCCACGCCGCCGACAGCCAUCACUACCGCAGCACCGUCAAAUUCUCAGCAGAUGCGUACACGGCGCUGCACCAGAGGUGGUACUCUUUCGUAUCUGCUCAACUUAUUUAUCGCAGCAAGAAAAUAGAUCGCCACUGCUUUACUCUGAUUUCUUGUCUUGGUUGUGAAGUUGCCUUUGUCCGGUUUGCACCUUUAGAUCCGCCAUGGCACGCUCAACACCAUACUCGCAAUGCUCAUGGUUUUCCCCUUUUAUAUUCCACACUAGUUAAAUCACAGUAGACUAAAUUUCAAAAUUGGGUCAGUCGAUUUUUCAGAGCUCGCCGGAGUUCGCCGGUGCGAUCGAAUGGGCUCGGGUGGGGACGGUGGUUGUGGGGGCGGUGGUGGGGCCUCGUCGAACGAAGAAAACUCGACGCGGGUGGGGGCGGGGGUGGGGGUGGCAGAGGAACACAGGCGGUGGGGCCGGUGGUUCGGCCGGCGGCCCAUGCGGUGUUCUGUAUGGGAAGCAUAGUAUGUUCCUUGUCAGGAAGGGGAGCAGGGAUAUCUGCAGUCUAACAGCUGAUAGAGCUGGCCUGUACAUGAUCGAUAGGCUUUCAAUUACUAGCGGCAAUACAACACCAUAAUUUCCAGCCAGUUCCACUUUCCCGAUUUAUAUAUCCUGGUUAUGGUGUACCCCUGUUAUGUACACUAUGAUCUGCCUAGUUGCUGUGUGCUCUUGUUAUCAUGGUUUGGCAACAAACUCUCUAUACAGUAUGUUAUGAACCUAUCAUCUGCCAGCUAUCCUUACUUUUGGAGCCUAUUUUUUUGUGUACUUGUGCCAGAUUAUAUAAAUGCACGCACCAUAUUACAGCACACAUGAGCUCUCUCAUCAGAAUCCAGUGAUAGCACAUAAGUGUUUACAGGGGCGCCCCUAUAUUAGAAUAUCAUCUGCAUUACAAAGAUAAUCUCACAACUAUUUAUGUUUUCAUGGUUCUCAGAUAUCAUACGCAAUUACAGUGAAUAUCAGAAUCCGCGCAUCAGAAGAAUAUUGUGGAACACUGCAAUGACAUACAAAAUUGGCACCAAGGCAUUGAGUGCCAUUGUGGAAGCAAUGAAACUCGUACGCUUCCCACCUGUUGAUUCUUGUUCAGAAUAUCAUCCUAAUGACUAUUCUAACCUCGAGGAGUCAAAGGCAGAUGGCCUGUCCUGUUCACCCAUCAAGGUGCCUGUUCUAAUUUGGCAAGGUUUUAUUGAUUGCGCGUAUCUUGCAUAUGUUGUCUUGCAUUUCUUCUACUUUGUUGCACCGCCAUCUGCUUAGUUUACUCAUCAUAUAUGUCGAGAUGCCAUGUCCAUCCAUUAUCAAUACAUAUUCCAUCUGUCAUCGUACCAUGUUUUUCCACUCAAAUGCUUACAUUAGUGUAGAAUAUAUCCAAUGCCAAUGUUUUUAUCAAUCGUUCGCUCCAAAUUAUCUGGUCUGUAUGAAUGGUUACAUUAGUGUAGAAUAUAUCCAAAGCCAAUGUUUUUUUAGCUCUGCAUUGUUCUUGUAAGUACAUGAUGUCCUUUAUCAGUGUACUUAUAAUGACAGGUAGGUGUUCAUGUACCAUCACUCUGCAGCUUAUUUUCCUUUGCCCUCCAUUUUCUACACAUCAGAUCUAUAUUUACUCUUACCAUAAGGUUGGUACUGAAGAAGUUUAGCUGUGCAUCGCUCUUGGCUAUACCUUUUGCCUGUAUCGCUGCACUUACAUUUAUAUCUACUUGGUUAUGUAGCAUCACUCUUCAUCUUAUCUUAAAUAUUCUCCAUUUUUUCGUAUAUUAUUACAUCUAUAUUUACUCUUAACAAAAUAUAGAAUAAAGGCAAUGCUUUUGAAGAAGAUUAUGUGGUAAACUUCUUGAAUUACCCCCCCCAUCACCAUAGACAAGGCCUUUAUAGAGCCUAUCUUCACCAAUAAUGUAAGUUUGUCCAUCUCAAGCCUUCAAACUUUGUUGUAUAUAUUUGGUUAGGCAUGACUGCAAUAGCUGUUUAUUUUUGGUGUUUACAUCAAAUUGCUUGUUUAAAGUUUAUUAUAUGUAUUUCAUAAACAAAAGUUUGUCCUUUCUCAAUUUAAGUUUUCAGUUGUACAACCAAGUUCCUUCUUCAUACCAUGUAAAUUAAACUAUAUAGAGUAAGUGAUCUUCUUUUGCACUGCAUGUAUGCUUCUGUUCUUCAUCUGUAAUCCAGUGGUGUGGUGAACCUACCUACUACAGCACAAUGUCAUAUUCUGCAAUGUCUUAACUAUGAACAAUGUCAUAUCAUUCUACUAUUAUUUAAACCGUCUCUUUAUUUGCCAAUCUGAAAUGGUAUAAAUUGACAGCACACUAACCAUUGAUACUUAUGAGUUCUUGAUCUGUAAUCCAGUGGUGUCGUGAAGCUGCCAACUCCUUCACAAUGUCAUUUCCUGCCAUGUCUUGACCUGAACAAUACCAUAUUGUGUUAAUGCAAAUUUAAACUGUGUCACUUUAUUCGUCAGUAAGAAAUGUGAUGAAUUGUCAGCACUGAUACUUUUAUGUGCAAAACCUGUCAUCUGUCUGCUUGUUUAUCUUUCAGAGUGAGGAAGAUAUAAGUGUUGAACAAGCGCAGUCUCAUCAUCUUGCUCAGCUGCUUGCGCUGCAGCUCCCCAGCAGGGCUAACCUUUCUUGAACUCUAUUGAAGUGCUGUCGGUUUUGUAUAUUAUUUUGUCGGAGUGUUUAUUUGCACUGGUGGCGAUCUUUGAUGCCCAGUGUAUGUAAUCUGCUGUCUGCUUGUGCUUUAUUAUCAUAGUAGCGAACUUUGAUGCCCAGUGGAUGUAAUAUGCCGUAAUUUCUUUAUUGUAUAGUCUAGAUUUUUUUCUUAUUCACGAUGCUGUAGUUAUUUUACUAUAUAUAUAUAUAUAUAUCCUGUUUUCGCAGUAAACCAGCCAAACCGUAAAAUUACGGUACAUAAUCGGGUCGUCGUGCAAUCACGAUGUAGGUUGGGCCUGAAAACGUGCCGAUCAGCUCACGGGCCGGCAGCAGCCCGAAAUGAACCCCGGACCAUGAUUGUGCGAAUCAAAUCACGGGCUUUUAACAGGCCAAAAAAUUGUCUCGGUCCUUGUUUGGCCCAAUCAGAUAUCGGCUGCGAGCAGGCCGGAUGCAAACAGGGCCGUAGUUAGGCCCAACUAUAUGACGGGCUUUUAACAGGCUGAAAUUAAUAUAGGGUCGAAAUGUUAAACGGGCCCUUAACAGGCCAAAACUAAUAUCAGGCUGAAUUACUAAGUGGGCCUUUAGCAAGUGGGCCCAAAAGCAUAGUGUCCAGUUGACGGGCUGAAUCUGAUAUGGGCCAUAAUUGAGCCCAAAGCCUCUUAAAGGGUCGGACCUGAUCUGGACCGUAAUUUGGCCCAGAACGUGGUAGGCCUUUAACGGGCCGGAUCUCAUAUGGGCCACUAUUAGGCCCGGAGUGUGGCAGGCCAUUAAUGGACCGGAUCAAAUAUGGGCCGGCAUUUGGCCCAAAAUAUGGCAGGCAGUUAAUGGGCCGGCCUACUAGGGUCCACAAAAUCUUGUGGGCCUACAGCUGGGCCGGCCCAUUAAUGUCGGCGAAAUCUCGUGGGCCUUUAGCUGGGCCGGCCCAUUAUGACCCGCAAGAAUCUUGUGGGCUUUACCUGGGCCGGCCCAUUAUGGCACAAAAAAAAUCUUCUGGGCCUUUACCUGGGCCGGCCCAUUAUGGCCCGCAAAAUCUUGUGGGCCUUUAGCUGGGCCAGCCCAUUAUGGUUCGCAAAAUCUCGUGGGCCUUUAGCUGGGGCAGCCCAUUAUGGUCCGCAAAAUCUUGUGGGCCUUCAGUUGGGCCGGCCCAUUUAAACUUGAUGGGCCGCUCCACGUGUCAACAUAUCAUAGGCGCGUCUCGCCCAUUGGAUGAGUUGACAUGUGUCUUCUCCAGCCAAUGAUGAUUUUACACGUGGAAAAUCCCCAUUGGUCGGGGCUGUUAACGGGUUAUCGGAUCCAAAACCCGACCCGAUAGCUUAACGACGUUCCAUUACGGUGGAUGCCACGUGUCGGUCACCCUUGACGAAAGCACUUCUGUGACGCGUGAUUUAUUGUCAUGGAAGUGGACACUUCCGUGAUGAUAAUUUUGGUAAUGUCAUGGAACACUUCUACGACAAUACAGGUAUGACUAUCUUGAUUCUGUCUUAAAUUUGUCAUGGAUAUACAUGCAUGACAAAAAAGCGACCUACUGUGACAAACACGUAUCAUCACGGAAGUGUAUUUUUUUGUAGUGAAAAGACCUUACUUACCGUCUUGCACGAUGAGAUGUUGUCUAUCCCAGGUCAACUAUCAAACAAAGUUGCCAACAUUUGAAUAGUUUCCUUCACACAGAACUUUUGAUCUCGUGUUGAAUCUAGCAUCAUGGUCUGAGUAAAAAAAGGCAUAGGAAGAAAAUAGUUCCUAAUCAACCUAAAAGGCACAUGACGAAAAUAGAUCCCACUCCAAUGCAUACCACAACAGCGUAGCACGAAAAUUUAUCUUAAUCAACCUAACAAAAAGGCAUAUAUCGAAAAUAGAUCCUAAUCAACCUAAAAAUAGGCAUACGUCUUACCACUUAAGGAAGCACAUGGCAUAAUAAAAUUGACAAAAAAGGCAUUGCAGUAAAUGUAUGUAUACUGAGAGAAAGGAUAUGCUUAGAAUAAUCUCAUUUUACAAUACAAACAUUUAAAUAUGUCCAAAAAAUGGCAUAUCCAAUUGUUCCUCAGCUAGCAGUAUAAGAAUAAUACUCUUCCAAUGUGCAUGAAUCAAGAUUCCAAGUAGUUCCUUGUCAACAACCAUGGGCUCUAUUUUUAGUAGCCCUCAAAACUUCUUGAUAAAACCACAUUGCCUUGUUUGAUCUUCACCAGUAUUUAUAGUGUCAUUUCUUCUCAUCUGGUAAAAAAACAUGGACACAUAAUGAAACAUCCAAUAAGCAUAGCCCUAUUUGUUCAAGGGAUUGCAUCACAAACCUAUGUUGCCCUUCACAAUGAGAUAUAAACAACAAUGUGUAUAAUUAGAAGACCAUAAGGUUUUCAAACGAUCAUCGUUUCAAGGUAAUUAAGAACAAAGAUUAAGCAUUAAACAGUUCCAUAACAAUCACAAGGCCAUUCCACCAUUCAAAAUAUUUAUUCGCACCAUAAUAGUUUUGCACUUUUUGACAUGUUGAGUGCCCGGCUGACCACAUCCCCCUGCGGAACCAAAAGCUACAUCAGACAUGCAUACUACAUAAAAAAAUGCAAACUAGCACACCUUCCUGGCACCAGCAAGCUCGUUUUCGUUGGUCACCAUGAGUGUGAUUCCAGUGAAACUUGUACAACAGCUACAACAUAUCAGUGGCUUCCAAACCAAAUCAAAAUCGUUGAAUUAAGGUGGCACAUGGUGUAAGAAGACCCCAAACCAUUCGUAACGAAUCUAGUACAAGCAGCAAGAACGACCCAACUAAUUUAAAAUUUGCUUUUCUGGACCUCUGUAGUUCACAAGUAGAAACAUAUUAUCUAAACAACUCGAGCAAGCAACACGCAGGGCAUAUGUGGUUGGUCAGCUCCGCCACUACAACACAUCCAACGCAAACACUCAAAGAAGUGUACCCAGCCAAAUCAAUACACCAACUGCAAAAUCUUCUCUGAAAGCAAAGCCAGCAAAGAAAGGAUAGUAACCACAGCAAGGGCGGGAAAAGCAAAAAAUCAAAAGCAGCGGCCGCGGCACUACAGCCGAGUCGGGAGUUGGUGUGACUCUGUUGCUGCUGCUGGUAUUCCCUGCCCCGCCCCCGCCUCUGUUGCUGCUGCUGUUAAUACUGAAUGCUGAAAUUGAACACUGGAUGAUGGAUGUUGAAUGCCUCCUGUUUGAUUGUAAAGCAAAACUGAAUUAAAGCGAAAUUGAAUACUCCAGUGAAUACUGAAUGCUGAAUGCUGGAGUAGUUAUGCUGAAUGCUGAAUACUCACUUUCAGGAAUUAUCCAGAAAGUAGCAAUACAGAAAUACUCGUACUCAAGUGAAGAAUUUGUUCCUUAGGUUCUUUCUGGAUGUUUUCUCUCCUGAUAGCACUCCACCAGGGGCUCUUUCUGGAUGAACUGGUAAUGCAAAGGAGAAGAAAACACAAGAUAAGCUUUACUAGAUCAUGAUCAAAAUACAGUGGACUUCUAGCUACAUCAAUCAGAAGUUAAUUUUUUUCCUACCCCUGUCUUGAGAUCAUCAAAAGUUCUUGUGGAUGAAUUGAUCACCACGGUCGCAUUACUUCAGCGAAGCUUAAAGACAAGAGGGGGUGGCCGUAAUCUUAGAAAACCACUCGAGUAAAACAUGUUCAAGGACUUUUAGCAAGUACAGUCAGAUCAUGAUCAUUUCCGGAUGACGGUCGAUCACAUUGUUUUAAGAUGUACUCCCUCCGUAAACUAAUAUAAGAGCGUUUAGAUCACUAAAAUAGUGAUCUAAACACUCUUAUACUCCAUGGAGUAGUUUACAGAGGGAGUAUAAUAUAACUGUACAUCCAUGGAAUAACAUCUGUGCAUGAAGAAAUCAAACCGUGUACUUAUAAGAUGGAUCACCAAAGCAAUUAAAGAUAAAGAGAUCAGAUAAAGAACUAGCCAAAGAAUUAAUCACCCCAGGCUCAAGACUUGUUAAAUACUCCAGCAUUGAUUACAGAACAGAAGACGUGGCUCUGAUUCACCCCAGGAGUAGAACACAGCUACAGAAUAGCAUGAGUACAGCUUCUGAGUAGUACAGUUGAUCACAGCUAAAGAACAAAAGAGAAGGAGCAAGAGCCACUAGCAUACUCCUGAUAUUAUUUCUUUUUUUAGAGAAAAGGGGGUGCUGCACCGCAGUUAUGUUAUCAAUAUUAUUUCAAGUUGGGGUGAAUUCUCUUUUAUUUGUUUAAAAAACAAAAUGUAUAUCCCUGUAUUUGAUCUGCUAUUACCCAAAAUGGGUGGUAUUUCAAGUUGGGCAUGUAUUCUCCUUUUUUGUUUUUACAACAACAAAAAACUUCUAGCGCUGUGUUUUAUCCGCUACUACCGCAAAAAACUUCAAAAAGCAUUUACAAAAUCUAAAAGAAAUUAACAGCAUGUACAUACCAUUUCAUAAAUUUUUAGGAUUCAAAUUUGACGCACAACUCAAGAAACAAAAAGGACAAGUUUGGAUAUAUGUGUGUUAUCUUUAUGCCACUAGUUAAUCUGUUAAUGUCAGAAUUUGCAGAUUAUCCUAACCUUCUCAUAGAGUUAAUAUAUCAUGACCUUGGUGAAUAUGCAGAGUUACCUGAGCAAGUGCUCCACCGCCGCAAUGAUGUUUGGGAUUGAUCUCAACUUGAGUCCUCAAUAAGAUGAUGCCUCAGAACCUGCAGAUCAACAGGAAGAACACAACAGUCAACAACGAUACAACAAUGAAGAACCAGUCAAUAAUGAAGCAACAGGUACUACCUCCAAAACUUUUGCAUUUUUAUUUUCAUUUUCAUGAUCUACUCCUAUUAUUUGCAAUAGCUAGAUGACUUAUCUUUUGCUCCUUAUUUGACAGAGGUUGAAACAAGUGGUGUAGAGGAACCAAUUCAUGAAGAAACAAGUGGUGUAGAGGAAGCAAUUCAUGAGGAAGCAAGUGCUGUACAGAAACCAAUCCAUGGGGAAGGCAGAGAACUCACAAAUGAGGAGAGAUAUGGUAUUUAUUUUGCACUCACGGUGAUCAAGACCCUAAAUGGACAAGUUCUGAAAAAAGACAAGGAGGUCAUUGCUAGCCUAUUCGAUGCAACCGUAAGAACUGUUGAGAGAAUAUGGGAAAGAGCUCUUAAACAGAUUGAACAAGGGGAGAAAGUUGAUGUCUCAAAUCAAAAGCCAGGUAGAGUUGGCCGCAAGCGGAAAGAUUUGGAUCUUUCGAAGGUGGUGACAAUCCCAUUGAACAUAAGGAGAACAUUGCGAGGUCUGUCAAAGGCAUUGGGUGUAAGCUACACGGCCUUACACUCAAGGUUCGAGUGGGGUCAUUUGAGGUGUCACAGUAAUAAGGUGAGGCUCCACUUAAACCUAUCCAACAUUGUAAAGAGAUUGAAAUGGUGCUUGGCUAUGUGUGAAGAUUAUUGGUCUGCGACACGGGAAUUAGACAACAUAGCCUAUAUGGACGAAAAGUGGUUCAACAUGACUGGGGAGGUGAACAACUACUAUUUGCUUCCCGAAGAACCCAACCCCUUGCGCACCUUGCAUCAUAAGGAUAGCAUCACCAAGGUUAUGUUUCUUGCUGCCGUGGCUAAACCAAGAUACGGCGAAGGUGGUAAGGUCACGUUUAAUGGAAAGCUCGGAAUUUGGGCUUUUGUCACAGAGUCUCCUGCUCAAAGAACAAGUGACAAUAGAGAUAAAGGGACGCUCGAGCUCAAAUCAUUGAAAGUCACACGAGAUGUAAUGAGGUAUUACAUGUGUGAGAAACUUAUUCCUGCGAUCCAAGAGCGCUGGCCGGACGAAGAUGAAGGACGGACAAUCUAUAUCCAACAAGAUAAUGCCACACCACAUAUUCUUCCCAAUGACCAGGUUUUCCGACAAGUCGUAGAACAGACUGAUUUGGAUAUUAAGUUGCUUCAACAGCCUCCAAACAGUCCCGACAUGAACAUUCUUGAUCUCUGCAUAUUCAGGUCUCUCCAGUCCCACACCGAUAGCAGAGCACCUCAAAGCAUCAGGGAACUGAUAGAAGGUGUGGAGGAGGAAUAUCGAAACUACCCGGUUGAUAAGCUAGCUAGAAGCUUCGUGACGCUGCAGUCAUGCAUCUGAGAGGUAAUGAGAAACAAAGGAGCGAUAAACUACUCGAUCCCUCACAUGAGCAAGGAAUGCCGGCAGGCAGAAGGACGGCUUCCUAUAGCUCUAUCUAUCGACCGUGAGCUAGUUGAACAGACCAUAGCCUUUAUAGAAGAGGCAGAAGCAAUCUUAGCAGCAGAAAAAGAGCAGAAGCAGCAGGAAAAGAGCAGCAAGAAAAGAGCCGCAGCAGCCACCAAGAAGCAGAAACACCCUUCGAAUACCAGCAGCCUCCAAGCAGCAGGAAAAGAGAAUCAGGAGCCUUCAAGCAGCAGGAAAAGAGUACCAACAGUCUCCAAGAAGCAGGAAAGGAGCAGCAACAGCCUUCAAGCAGCAGGAAAAGAGCACGAGCAGCCUCCGAGCAGCAGGAAAAGAGCAGCCACCUCCUUCAAGCGGCAGAAACACCCUUCGAGUACCAAUAGCCUCCAAGCAGCAGGAAAAGAGAACCAGGAGCCCUCAAGCAGCAAUAACAGAGCACCAGCAGCCUCCAAGCAGCAGGAAAAGAGCAACUCUUCUUUACUCCAAGCAGGGGGGUACUUGGGAUCAGCUAGCACUCUGGUUGGUGCUAGGAAUGACCAGUUGGUUAAGCAGAAUAACAAGUUGCAAGAGCUCUACCCAUACUAAAUUUGUUUUAGUCUGCUUGUGCUUCAAAAACAGUUUACUGAAAGUGUUAUAGUCUGAGAAAAAUAGUUUACUGAAUUUGUUAUAGCCUGAGAAAAACAGUUUACUGAACAUUUUAUGUAUAGUCUUUGUUAGUGGGGUGCUAGUCUGAUCAUGAUAGGUUUUUUCAGGACUUGGAACUUUUCUGAAACUGUUGGAGUAGAAAAGUAAAAGUAGUCUGGACUCUGAACUCUGAAGUGCUUCAAAAACGGUUUAUUUAAAGUGUUAUAGUCUGGCACAGGGGGGUUCUAUGAUUGAGAACUGUGGAAAGUGUUGCAUGCAGCGGUUGUAGUAGUCGUUUGAGUGUCACUCUUCUGGCAUUCAUUUCUGUGGUGCUUUCCUGGAUGAAGCAUUUAACUGUAGGGGCUCUUGCAAAGAGUUGAAUGAUCUUCCAUUCCUUUUAGAUGAUGAAAAAUGCAAAAUGAGUUGAUGAUCUUUCAUUCCUUUUGUAAUGAGUUGAUGAUCUUGUGGUUCCCUUAGGCUAUGCACUUGAUACAAAUGCAAAAUGUAGCAGGUUCUUGCUGUGAGCUAACAAUCGUGCUGGCACUUGUGCUGUUUUCAGUGUUGGCCAUGGAGCAGGAAAAAGAAUUUGUAAUGUAUGAACAAAAUUCAGAUUUUAUCCAACAACACUACAUGAACAAGACUAGUUUAUGCACAUUACAUUGUUUUCAGGUUUUGUACAUAAGCUGCCUUCUUUUUGUUUUGGUGUCUUGUUUGGGCAGACACUAGCUAGGUUUCAUUCUGAUAUAUUGGAGCAUCUUAUUCACUUCAUUGCUAGCUGCAUUUUUUUAUCGAAAGGGGUUUCCCCCCGCUCCAUUUUAUAAAAACGAAGCAAAGCGAGUCACAGCAGACCGUUACAAGCAUUCGGGACCUGCCUGAAUGGCAGGACCAGAGACACCGGAAUCAAAAGACAAAUUCAGCGUUCUGAGGAAGUGCAAAGACGGUCAUACAUUCUACCACGACAGGGGAACUGACAGAUCACUCUGCUAAUUUUUAUCUCUUCUUUCACUCUGGGUGAAUCUUCAGCAUGUCCUCUUCGAUCUUUCUCUUGCAAGCUCUCAGGCCGACUCCCAUGCAAUCCUGAGCAGCUCGCCUCUUUGCCGAUCUAGGAGUUGGAUGCAUCUUCUCAGCAGCACCGAUUGGUCGCCCACACAUAGCACCUUCCAUUGAUGCAGUGACGAGCUGAUCCUUCCCAAGAUUGCAUGCGUGCUUGUCCACUGUACGCCCUGAAAGCACAUGUCAUUACGCAUCGUCCAAAUGCUCCAAAUGGUAGCAACACAAGCAAUAUUAGUAACAGACUUUUUGUUAUUUAGAUUCCAGAAGGAGGAUAAUUCAUUCAUGUCAUUUGGAAUACUAAACUCAAAAGAGUCAGAUAUAUCACUCCAAACUUGUUUAGCAACCAGACAUUCAAAGAACAUGUGACAGACAGUUUCAUCCUCAUUACAAAAUAAGCAUUUUAGAUUUUCCACCUCUCUCCUCUUAUUCAGGUUAUCCCUGGUAAGAAUUUUGUUAUGAAAAGCUAGCCAGAGAAAGACUAAAUAUCUGUGAGGUACAACAAUCUUCCAGAAUUUUCUCCAAAUGGGGGUAGACACCCCCCCCAAUUAAUCAUGUUAUAAAACGACUUAACUGAAUAGACCCCCGACGGUUCCAAUCUCCAAAUGGGUUGGUCCGUCUCGUCAGUUAUUGGCAUGUCAGAGAUGAUUCGGAUCAAUUCAUGCCAUCUAUCCAAAAAUCCAGGCUCCACACAUCUGUUGAAGGUAAGUUUGAGAGUAGAACCAUCCCAUACCUCAGAAACUGCGCAGCAUUGCUGUUGGCAGAUUUCAUACACGUCCCAGAAUUGGGUUUUGAGGGAAGAAUCCCCCAUCCAAAUGUCAUCCCAAAAGCUUAUUUUAUUACCAUUCCCUAGUUUCCAUUUAUAGAAGGGUCUAACCCCCUCCAAGGCCCAGGUGACACCUUUCCAGAAGGGAGAACCCACACCCUGCCUAGACCACAGUAUAUUUGGCUUAGCUAUUUUAUAUUUGUGGUCAAUCAGCUUCACCCAGUUUUUGUUACUGUCCAUAAAAUACCUUUUAGCCCAAGAGGCUAGUAAGGCCAUGUUGAAUUCUCUCAGGUUAGGUACCCCCAGACCACCAAAGUCUUUUUUCUGGGAGAUCAAACCCCAGUUAGCAAGAUGGUACUUAUGUUCAUCCCCCACAUCCCCCCAGAAAAAGUGAGCCAUCUGAGAAGUGAUGGGCUUGAUCGCCCACUUGGGGAACUUAAUAACUGACAUGAGGUACAUGGGGAUACUGGCAAUGCAUGCCUUAAGGAGGACUAGUUUUGCCUCAUAGCUAAGUAAUCUCCCCUUCCAUCCACAUAUCCUUUUGAUGAUCUUAUCUAUGAUGUAUUGGAUGUCUUCUCUUCUCAAUUUGAGGCAGUGAAGAGGAACUCCAAGAUAUUUUAGAGGGAAAUCCCCCAUUUUACAACAGAAAAUUUGAGACAGGAGUUUAGCAUCAUCCUCAUUCAUAUUGAUAGGUACUACUUCACAUUUGUCAUAAUUGAUUUUUAACCCAGAAAGGUUUUCAAAGCAGGCAAGUAGCCAUUUCAAGUUCCUAACAUAUUCAGGUUUAGGGUUAAGAAAGAGAAUUGUAUCAUCAGCAUAUUGCAGGCAUAUGAGUCCUUGAGGGAUGAUAUGGGGAACAAUCCCAGAUAUGAUAUUGUUAUUAACAGCUUUAGCUAACAUGUGAGAAAACACAUCAGCCACCAAAUUAAAAAGCAUGGGGGAACUUGGAUCCCCUUGUUUUAAACCUUUUCCACCCACAAAGUAUGGACCCAGGGUAUCAUUGAUCUUAACACAGAAAGAGCUCUGUUGCAAAAUGGAUAAGUUCCAUCUAAUCCACUUAGCUCCAAAACCCCUAGAUGUAAGCAUUUCUACUAGGAAAUCCCAGUUCACUCUAUCAUAGGCUUUUUCAUAAUCUAUUUUGAGAACAAUCCUAGAUUCUUUUGAUUUAUGGACCUCAUGGAUGGCCUCAUGAGCAGUAACUACACUUUCCAAAAUGAACCUGCCUCUCACAAAGGCAGAUUGACAUGGGGAUAGGAGCCUAUGACCAACAGGGCCAACUCUGUUUGUCAUAGCUUUACUGAAUAUCUUAACAGAACAAUUGCUCAAACAGAUGGGUCUGAAUUUCCUCAUGUUCUUGGCAUCUGGCUCUUUAGGGAUCAAAGUAACAAUAGAAUAGUUUAGUCUCUGGACAUCCAGAGUCCCAUUUUUAAAAUCUCUAACCAGGCCCAUAAAGUCACCCUUAAUCACCUCCCAGAAUUGUUGAUAAAAAAGAAAAGACAAACCAUCAGGACCAGGGGCUCCAUUAGCAUAUGAUCCCAUAAUGGCCUCUUUAAUUUCUUCUUCUGAAAAAGGUCUUUCCAGGGAAGUAUUUUCUGCUUCUGUCACCAUUUCUUCAUCAGACCAAAACUGGUCAUCUAAGUGUAUAUUAGGUUUAGGCUCAAACCCAAAGAGGUUUGUAUAAAAGUUAGUGGCCACCUCCAGCAUGUCCUUAGUGGAGUAUACAGGCCCAUUAGGACCCUCCAGGACAGUCAAUUGAUUCUUCCUUCUGUGUUGAUUAGCAACAGCAUGGAAGUAGGCUGUGUUUCUGUCUCCUUUUUGAUCUUCCUAUCUCUAGAUCUCUGCCACAUGGCAGUCUCUUCCUUCUUCCAGAUCCCCUCAAGUUCCUCUUUAAUUUGUUUCAUUCUGAGGACAUCCCCAGCAUUUGUCCUGUUUUGUUCAGCAAAGAUAUCUAGGAUAUCAAACUCCAGAAGGAGCUCUUUCUUUUUCUUCUUCAUAGCUGCUUCCAGAUUAAUGCUCCAUCCUUUAACACUUUUCCUAAAUAGUUUGGUUUUAAAUUGCCAAGUCCCAAUAGCAGUUGCACACGGUGAUGGUGUGGCCCAAAUUUUCUCCACUAAGGGUCUAAAAUCUGGUUGGUCUAACCACCAUUUCUCAAAUCUAAAAGGUUUAGUAGGGUUACUGCUACUCAUUCCAGAAUCAAGAAGUAUUGGGGCAUGGUCACUCCCCACCCUAGGAAGGGCACAUAAGGUAGUGAGAGGGAAGUGACUAUCCCAACUAGUGGCAGAGAAAACCCUGUCAAUAGUGGCAAAGAUAGGGUUGUCUUGGUUGUUGCUCCAAGUAUAUACCCUGUUAGCUAAUCUAUACUCCAUAAGGCCCCAUUUAUUUAUCCAGUCAUUAAACAAUAAUGUCCAGGAAGCAUUUAUAUUGCCUGAGGAUUUAUCCUUAGCUUCUCUAAUCAGAUUAAAGUCACCUCCCAGAAAAACAGGAUAACAUAAAUCAUCCAUAUUCUCAUGCAAUUCCGCAAUAAAAUCAAUCUUGUCUACAGCAUAAGUUGUGCCAUAAACCACAAUCAGAUGCCAACAAGACCCAUCAGUCUUAUUUUUCAGGGUAAUGAUAAUGCAGUAUUUUUUACAGCUAACACUAAGUACCUCAAAAAGAUUGGUUUUGGUACCCACAAGGAUACCCCCAGCAGAGCCUACAGCAGGUAGAAUGUGCCAGUCAUACACACUAGAACCAGCUAAGGCAUUAAGGAAGGAGUCAGAUAAAGUUUCUCUCUUGAUUUCUUGAAAUCCUAAAAAAUCAAGUUUAUAUUUACCAACCAAGUCAGACAGGCACUGUAGUUUCCCUUUUUGGCCCAAACCUCUAAUAUUCCAAAAGAUACCAAUCAUGGAAUUUUGAAAGGGUGUGUCGGACUAAAAAUUCCUCCUCUCACAUUAUUCCCACUUCCACCCACAUCAUCAGCAGUGCCCCCUGAUGUGUGAGUGUUGGGAAUGUCUUUUUCUGGAGUACAAACUCCAUUAUCAAUGUUUGGUCCAAUAUCUAAACUAUCAGGCAAGGAAACUUCAGGAUUUUGGGAAGCAAACACAAGACAUUUUUCAGAUUCAUCUCUAAUAAUUUGGUUAAUGAUGUGGUUCUUGUCUCUCUCAUCAUCACCAAUUUUGAGAUUAACUGCAGAAGCAUAAGCCUCUAAAUUAGAAAUAGCAUCAUAAGUAAAAGACUUACUUUUAAAGGUAGGUGGGAUCUCCAGGUUUUUCUUCAUUUUGUAGGCUGCAGCUUUUUCCAUGAUGUUUUGCCUGUUGUGGGCUCUGGAACUCAGCCUUGGAGCAAUCACUGGUCCCCACUUGGUUUUUGGUGAAGCCUUCCCUUUGGUUUUAUCCAUGAGCUCCAUCAUCUUCAGGCCACUAGCUAUGUGUGUCUCAACAGUAAUCAUUUCCUCCUCAGGUUCAGCAGAUUCACUGUCAGUGUUAGAAGAAGAAUCUUCCAGUUCUUUCAGCAGACCAGAGCAAUACAUCUUUUGGGCAGACACAGGGGAAGUGGUAGCAGCAAUCCCACUUGGUGAUGUAGUAACCAUGGUGUUUUCAUCAGGUCUGUUGAGUGGGAUGCUGAGAGAUUUGAUUGCCUCAGCAAAAGGUAUUGAGGGUCUGCUUGGGCCCAUAUCAUCUUGGUCAGGUUUCCUGUUGACUCUCACAGGAGAAAAGCGUGUCUCCAGUAGAGCAUGGGGAUGAAAUGAAGCACCAUCAUUAACCGUUUUCUUCCCAGUUGGAGUUUUUGUGGGGGCUCUGUUGGCAAGGUCUAGAGCAUCAAUGGGUUCCUCUCCAUCAUCCAACAAGUCUUUAUCCAGUUCCUCCUCCUCAGUUGUCUUGUUGUCCUCAUCUAUUGUUAUACCAGUGGGGCCAUCAUCAUCAUUGGGGUCAUCAGCACCCACCUAGUCAAAGCCCUCCACAGUGAAGGAUAGGAUAUACAGUUUUUUCCUCAUCUCCAUAAUUCUUUCAAAGGGGAUUUUUGUUGGGUCUCUGCAGGCAAUUUUGAUCCUCACUUUCUCAUAGAAGCUCUUCAUCAGGCCAUUCCAGUGGACAUCUACAAGAAUUCCAAAGCAUGAGGCUAUUUGGGAUAGCACUUUCCAUGUACACCAUUUAGAGGACAGGCCCUCAACAAUCACCCAGGCUUCAGUAAGUUCACUGAAUGGGUCAAUUGAGCCAGUCCAUUUUUCCACAGACACAGAGACACCAUCAAUGGGUAGAUCAAAAGCAGGGAACUCAAUCAACUCAUCAACAUCUUUCCAGGGGGGGAAUCUAACCAGGAACUUCUUAUCUGACAGUGGCUUGAUUUGCCAUGUCCAUUGUUUGUUUUUGCAGAAGAUACCAGAAAGGUUUUUCAUUAGGUCUGACUUGUUGAUCUCUCCUUUCAUAAUCCAGACUUCUCCACAGUUCCUAAAAUUCAGCCAGCUUGCUUCUCUUCCCACAGGGGCGUCGAUGUGAUAAAACCCCAGUCCCAGCGUAGAACUCCCAAAGAAGGUGGCAACUGGAUGGGGCUGUGCCCAGGCUGCAUAGUUGUUGACAUUGUGGCCUUCCAAUCCACAGAUGAAACAGGUUUUCUUCUGUAUGUAGUUGCCAACGUAGUGGCCAGGGCCUCCGCAAGUGAAGCACACCAUAUCCUUGUAUCGCUCGUCAAGAACUUGCACCAAAGGGGCCGGUGGGAUCGGAGCCGGAGGCACAGCGGCAGUGGUCUGAGUAGGGGGGGUCGUACCUUUACCAGGCGGCGCAGCUACAUGCGCACCUCCUGGAGGUUGACGACGUCCGAGGUUUUUCGGAGGGACCGGACCACGCUGCUUCUGUCCCAUCGGCGGCGCAUUCUUGUCCGCCAUGACAACAUGAGCAAAGGAUUUGGAUCCUACUCCAAUUCCUUCCCGGAUGAUCUUGAGCUGCGUCGGUGGUGGAUCAAACGGGCGAAGGUGUUUGAUUGGAAAAAGAUCAGAGGGAGAAAAACAUCCCGAUCGGGCUAGGUCUUUCCUGAGCCAUCCCAAAGUGGAGGCUGAUUUGGUUUUGCCAGGCAGAGGGUGAGGCUGGCGAUGGCGGGGGGAGGGAAUGACCCAGAGCUGCCCAAAAACCCUAGAUAUAGAUUCAUCCGCGCUGCCUUGUGGAGGAGACGUAAUAGGUAAAGGUGUUUUCACUUUUUUGCAGCGGAUCAGCAGGAGAGAGGUGAUGAUGGGGCCCGUACUAUCCCGCCCAACGGUAGCCUCUCUCUGUUUUGGGGAAAAAUCCCCAAUCUCUACCAAAUUGGAUCCCUCCGUCAAUGGUGAUUUAUAGUUUUCCGAGCACAAGCUCAAUUCAUUCCCCACCGGGUCUAAUAACAACAUUGAAUCGGAAAUCAGAUGACUAACCUUCUCUUCUGGGAUACAAAUCCCUUUGUCAACACGAGAUCAAUUUCCAGGUGGAACCACGCCGCGGUCUCCAAACCAUGGCGGUUCCAGCGAUCUAUGGUGAGGUAGGAGAUCCACCCCACCCGUAGCAAGCUUCAGUUGAUUGACGGAAUGACGCCGAGGAUGCAUUCCCAUCGGAGGGCUCGCCGCGGCUCCAUCGAUUUUGCCUCUGCCCUCGCCCAUACCACAAAUUCGGCCGGCGGGGAGGAUGGGAACGGAGGCAUCCUCGCCCUUUCUUCCAGCGUGGCCUCCUCGAAGAUCCUUCAUGCUAGUUUCCUUUGUUCCACAUCCGCCCUUCUCCGUUGGACCUCGGCGAUCUUCACGGCCGCAGAUCUCAUCUCCGACGAGGUUGCCUCCGCCACGCCCGGUCCGCCAUCUUCCACUCCUGCACGCACCGGAUCCACUCGAAGGUAGAGUCUCGGAUCCUGGUCGCGCGCUCCGCCCACCCCGCAGCUCCCGACGCCAUGAGCACCGCCUACGGCACUGGGGAGAUCAGCCGCAGGAUCUCUGGGAAUUUCUCUCGCACGGUCGGCGCAAGUCGCUGGGGUGGGGGGCUGUGGAUGCAGCUAGCGCGAGCACUCCUUGCCGGCGUGGAGGCAUGGCGCAGGGCCAGAUCUGUGGCGGCGGCGGCGGUGGCAGGGGGGAGGGGUGGAGUCGCGGGAGCGAGGGGGAGCACAUGAUCUGUGUCUUUCUUAUCGCUAGCUACAUUUCUCUUAGAUGAAGCAUCUAACAUCAACACUGAUUUGGUGGCUCUCUUUUUUCUUGCCAGUAAUUAGUUGAUGAUCUUGAGUUUAGCAAUGUGGCUUCAAAUUUUAGUUGUGUGGUCCUUUCUAAUCUUGUUUGUUGGUUAUGUGCAACAACAGCUCCAUUUGUUCCUAAGAUCCAUAGUUCAGAGAGGUUCAUUCAUGGAAAAUAAACAUGCAUUGUUUGAUGAGUUUGUCCAAAUCACAAUCCGGUCAUCUAUCUGCCGAGGUUAUUGUUUGGUUGGAGCAGCCAAUUAAGUCCUGAAUGCCUAAUCCACUGUCGGAGUAUCAAACAAUUCAGUUUUGCUGUUGCAUCCAAACUGUAUAUGCAGCAUUAUUAAAAUGUCUCACCAGCUGACAGAGCAGGGGCGUCUCGCCGGCUGCCUCGGCAGAGGAGGAUGCAGGGAAGGAGGUGCGGUCAUCGUUCCCCUCUUGUUGCUGCUGCUGCUGGGGGCGGGAGUUGACCUCGUGGAGGAGGUGGAGGUCGGGAGCGGACCUGGCGCGCGAGGCCCCGGCGAGCGGGAAGUCCCCGGCCGCGGCGUCGGCGGCGAUUGGGGCCUUGACGGCGGCGGAGUCCUCGUUGUAGAGGAAGAUGGCGACGAGGAAUAUGGAGACGAGGAGCCCCACGAGCGAGAGCGGCGCGCCGGGCCUGCGCGCGGGCGCCUCGUCNNNNNNNNNNNNNNNNNNNNNNNNNNNNNNNNNNNNNNNNNNNNNNNNNNNNNNNNNNNNNNNNNNNNNNNNNNNNNNNNNNNNNNNNNNNNNNNNNNNNNNNNNNNNNNNNNNNNNNNNNNNNNNNNNNNNNNNNNNNNNNNNNNNNNNNNNNNNNNNNNNNNNNNNNNNNNNNNNNNNNNNNNNNNNNNNNNNNNNNNNNNNNNNNNNNNNNNNNNNNNNNNNNNNNNNNNNNNNNNNNNNNNNNNNNNNNNNNNNNNNNNNNNNNNNNNNNNNNNNNNNNNNNNNNNNNNNNNNNNNNNNNNNNNNNNNNNNNNNNNNNNNNNNNNNNNNNNNNNNNNNNNNNNNNNNNNNNNNNNNNNNNNNNNNNNNNNNNNNNNNNNNNNNNNNNNNNNNNNNNNNNNNNNNNNNNNNNNNNNNNNNNNNNNNNNNNNNNNNNNNNNNNNNNNNNNNNNNNNNNNNNNNNNNNNNNNNNNNNNNNNNNNNNNNNNNNNNNNNNNNNNNNNNNNNNNNNNNNNNNNNNNNNNNNNNNNNNNNNNNNNNNNNNNNNNNNNNNNNNNNNNNNNNNNNNNNNNNNNNNNNNNNNNNNNNNNNNNNNNNNNNNNNNNNNNNNNNNNNNNNNNNNNNNNNCCCUGGCGCAGCAUCGCCUUGGCCCCCGCCCCCGCCCUCCCCUUCGCCCCCGGCGCCAGCAAGAACUCAUGCAGGCUCAAGCUCGCGUCCUUCCUCUCCUCCUGUCCGCAGCUCCGUCCCUGACAGCGCCAACUCGCCACCGUCGCGUCGUGGUGGACGACGUCAGCUUGCCAGCAUCCGCGCGGCGUCCAGUCGCCGGCAUCGUGUUGCUGGUGGUCUGGAUCUGGUGCCUUCGGCCUCGCAUCGACAGAAUCCGUCGCCAGCUUGAACUCAAAGGUCCAAGCUUUUUGGAAGUUCGCCGCGGGAAGGAGGAGAGGAGCGCAGCGAGGCCACCGAAGGUGGGGGAGGAGAGCGCGGCAACGCGAUAGAAGGUGGGGGCAGGGGGAGCGCGCUGGCAAAGAGCACCGAGCGGAGCGCGGCGGCCAGCCGGAGAAGAGAGUGAGCACGAGGACCGCGGGUUCGGUCGGAAAUAGAUCAAGGGGGUUUUCGCAAAAACACCGUCGCGACGACUAAAUCCGAACGGAGGGAGUUGUAAGUAAUCAUUGGUGUGUUCUUGUCUGUAUACAUGAUAUAUUGAAGGGAAGAGCUUACUACGCUUCAAGAAGAAAACACGAAUGCUAAUGAUGAAUAUCAGACAUAUGGUAAAUAAGAAAAUCCACGUACUUGUUAUACGCAAAUUUCAACCGUUUAUUCUGGAAUGCACUCGAUUCACCAAAAUGCGUUCCCCUCAAUAUCACCAAGCAAAUUGACGAACCCAAACAAAAAGCAUUCUGCUUAGCCUCAAUGACGAAGCCUUUGAGUUUCUUGGACUUCUCUGUUGCAAUCACAUAUUCAGGGAAUUAAUCUCCCCGUUCAAGUAAACCUUAAUGUGAAAUCUAAAAAAUAUGUACCUUACAUGGACAAAGCCCAUUCUGCUUAGCCUCAAUGAUGAAGACAUGUAAUUUUUGAAGUGUGGCUUACAUGGUUGGCACUCAUAUAAAGGAAGUAAAGGUAGUAAAGCUCCUUUGAAACGGGGUACUUUCGGAAGACAGUGGGCCUACAUACAUAGACAAGAAAAGAAAAUAGCCUACCAAUUCAAUGCUAAACUGGUCAUUUUAGGGGGGAAAUAGCCUAGUAGUUCAAUGCUAUAAGAAAGGCUGCAUAAAAACACCCAAGUUCAUCUUGGGCCUGCCUUCAUCAGAUAUAGGAAAAUUUCUUUGCUAUCCAUACUCUCUUGUAAUAAGUGAAUGAUGUGCAAUUUUCCUACCAAACACAAACGCAAGGAUGCUACUUAUCUAAAAUUAAUAUGAGAAUGACAGACCCAAAAGAGCUGCACAGAAUACAAUAGGGACCAAUAAACCAGGACGAAGGUAGUAUUCUGGAUUGUUAGACUCUAAGCUCAAUAACUUCAUAGGAUUUUGGAACACAUUACCUUGAAUAACUUAUCCUCAAAUAGUGUGGCAUGUGCCCUGUCACUUAUCCCUUUUAUCCACUAUGGUGUUGCAAACAUUUUGCAUCAGACAAAUGCAAAGUAGUUGUACAGUGUGUAAUAUGUGGCAAAAGAUGCGCGCACACUGAAGUAACUGUAAACAAGUUUCAGGUUAAGUAAAUUCGCAUCACAACUGUUUAUUCAUAAAUUUCAAUCUUGGAAUGAUGUGCCUUGUUCAUCUCAGACUUGCACAAAGGUUGUUAGACAGAGGUUUCAGAUGUUACUUAAUUCACUACGACUUCAAUACUCUAAAUCUGCUUACACAUGCAAUGAACUUGCAACAAAAUCUAGCAUGAUAGAAGUACAUACAAUGCAUCAAUGAUUUGGACUGUGAUACUUGAGAUAAAUUAUACGAUUCGAUCUAUAGCAGAUUAUUGAAGGAUGCAAAGUUACUUGCCUGUGAGUGGGCAUAGGAGCGACUGGUGAGGAAGUUGAAUGGCGUCGAGGUAGCAAAUUAUUGCAGCGCCAGACCGCCACUAUAUUCCUUGUGGGAGCCUCGCAGACAGAGGCUGGCACCUGAUUUGAUUCAAACAACGGGGUUCAACUCCUUUGCUAAAUUAACCACCGUGAGAUAAAGUAAUGUAAUGAGAAUUUACAUGAUGGAUUGAUGCUAGGUCAAAACUUGGAAACUGAGGCUCAAUGGUUGGAAAGGAACAACGUCAGGAAAGUUGGACAUGCUUGAUUAGAUCGUACACUAAAUAAACCAUCAUCGAAUAAAAUCAUGUAAUGGAAUAUACAUGAUGGAUUUCUAAAUUUGAAAACUGAGUUUCAAAGGUUGGAGAUGAACACGAGGAGAGCUGGGCACAUUUGAUUGGAUCAUACCAACUAAUCAACUAUCAUUGAAUAAAAAUCAUGAUUCUGGUCUUCUCCUUUUAUUUCAGAUUAACAUGGGGAUGCUUUGGAGUGGGUAAUCAUCAUAGGUAUAGAGAUAAACAACAACUGUGCAACUGAUACCAAUUUACAGAAUGGUUGUAAUAAAGUAUCCAAUGACAAAUAACUAUAGGGGCCUGCAAAAUAGAAAAGUAAAGUUAAUAAAAGUUAUCUACAUAUAAGUUGUAAUUUUAUUUAAUAAUUGAAGUCCUGAUUUAAUUAGACAAACUACAAUGGCCUAUAAUCACCAGCAAACACUCUGCUUGAACUACACUAAUUAUGAUUUAUGAAUGAACCGAUAUCAAUUCCUAUUGUGUAGCCGUGAAAAACCAUCUCUAUUUUUGUAGUGCUCUUGCUCUAGAAAGGCCUUUUACAGAAAUGUAGGAAAAGGCUGCGUACUAUAGACCCAAAAUGGUCGGACCCUUCCCUGGACCCUGCGCAAGCGGGAGCUACAUGCACCAGGUUGCCCUUUUCUUGCUCUAGAAAGGCAGUGCAUCAUAGUUGUACUGAUUCUCGUCAGUAACAGCAAAAGCUAAUCCACCGAAGAGUAUAAUAUAGUUGCGGGAAACCUGCUAGUACACAUCCUCAAAUCAACCGUAGCACACCAGUCCCAACUCCCAAGUACUGAUCCAGUUUCUCUCUGAUAAAUCAAGCAACCAUGAUCUCUCUAAAAAAUCCUAGUCAACCGUAGCACACCAGUCCACCGAUUCAGUUUCUCUCUGAUAAAUCAAGCAACCCUAAUCUCUCUGAAAAAUCUUCUACAUGUUCUCCUUCCUUACCCAGCCAUGGCCAAGACUGCACGAUGCAGCGCCUGCUCCUCCACCCAUCCCCUUCCCCAUGUGACACACAUCUACAACACAAGCCAUGUUACCCCUGCCACCUGAAGCAAUGACUUGACCUCGUGCGUGCCUCGCUGGACCGCAUCGUUGCCUCCUCCUCCAUGAAGACCUGCUCUUCUUCCCCGUGCUUUCGGCCGAUGCCAUUGUAGAGGAGAUCAAGGGCAGCGCAGGCGGCGACAUGAGGCAGGGACGGAUGCAGGGGCGGCGAGUCGUGGGGAGGACGGAAUGGGUUCGUGGGCAUGGAUGGAGGUUGGGAUAAGUGGAUGGACUUUAGCAGGCCGGGCCAUGAUUGGGGUCUUUUUUCGCGAGGUGGGUGUGCACCGGAGGCCCAUGCCCUUAGAGAAUUAGUUCUGGUUUUAUAUUACUAGGCAAAAAUGAAAACAGCUACAGCAAUAAAGGACACUAGAUCAUGAAAGGAUAAAACACACAGCAAAUCAAAUAAUACAACCAAAGUUCCCCAGGCUCAGCAGCGCAUAUCUGGGGAGCACGAACAAAGAUGCAGCACCAAGUGAUUGCUAAAUGAAGCAGUUACAUACGUAGUUCAGAUUAAACUGCAGUUCCCACACUCAAAUAGCAUCACUAACAAACAUCAUUCAAAUACCAUUACUAACACACUUGUUAGAUUUCACGAGCACUAUCCUACCUCUAAGACAGCAUAAACUUAACUUGUUUUGCAUAGUCACAGAACUACACAUCAUACACAAUCUUGUGUAGCUUUGACAGAACUCUAGAUUUCUAAAAAUAGUUGUCGAAUACUAAUGGACCCCAGAUCCACACUCUUGUGCUCAUCCAAGUCAUCAUAGAGGCUAUCUUCUUUCUUUCUGCCAUAAACAUUCUCUGCGAAGCUGCGCCUAUUGUUGAUGAUUUGCGAGUUGCUGUAGUAUGGUGCCCUCCAUGGAGGAACAUUUUCACCGUUACGGGGGUCUUUUCCGCAGGCCAUCUUCUCAAACUCCGACUCACGCCCAUGGAAGUCUAUCCUGACUGGAUGCACAAUUCUAGUCCCAAUGUACUCACAGUAAAGACACCGAAUUUGUGCUGCCAACACAUGAGAUAAUUAAUAUUGAAGGUUACAUCAUAGACUACAUGUGCAUAGAAAAAUAUCAAAAAUGAAAUGCUCUGCAGUUUUCAAGCUUUGCCAAACAUGGAGCCUUUGAAUGUUGACAGAAAGCAUAUGUAAUGCCUAUAGAAACGAUGCAUGCAUGGCCGACAUAGCUGCUUCUAAACCAUUAUUGUUAUUUUGUUGAAUGAGGAAAUGAGCACGGUGAUGAAGGGAUCAUCCAGCUACAUGUUGAUCACUAUGGCAGGCUGGCUGCUUGAUUGAAACGUUUGAGUUAACAAACCUAUAAACAUGUAGAUAUUCAAGUAAAGGCAUUCAAUUAUGUUUAUCCNNNNNNNNNNNNNNNNNNNNNNNNNNNNNNNNNNNNNNNNNNNNNNNNNNNNNNNNNNNNNNNNNNNNNNNNNNNNNNNNNNNNNNNNNNNNNNNNNNNNNNNNNNNNNNNNNNNNNNNNNNNNNNNNNNNNNNNNNNNNNNNNNNNNNNNNNNNNNNNNNNNNNNNNNNNNNNNNNNNNNNNNNNNNNNNNNNNNNNNNNNNNNNNNNNNNNNNNNNNNNNNNNNNNNNNNNNNNNNNNGACGGAAUAAUAAAACAGUCAAAUGGUAAGCUAUGGUAAAGAUGCAUCAUGGUGCUUCGGACUUUGCAUAUAACAUUUACAGCAAGAUAUACCAGAUAGGACACGGGAAAAAAUAUUGGCAUAUGGUUUGCUUAUAGCAUACCAGCACAUGGCGGAGGCAGAGCAACAUGGCAACAGAAGGACUCCUCAUCUUGGUCAUUGUUGCUAAUUUCAGCAAAAAACAAAGCCGCAGCACCACCACAAGGGCUUUUGGGAGUAGCUACGAAAUUGACAUGAGAGUGGCCAUACUUAGGAGGAAAGGAAGUAGGGCCGGAGACACGAUCAUUCACACCACAAAUCGUAUGAAGCUCGAAUUUCGGAUCCUGCAAUUCGACAUUUAGUGAGCAUAUAACAGUAGAUGAGAAAUGUUAGCAAUAACCAACAACAAGCACAUCAAAACCUACCCCAUUUGGCAUCUGAGCAUAUGCAUUCAGCAGAGCGUUGACCUUCUUGGAGAUUCUUGUAUACAUGCCUGCUAGCUUUGCACGGGGGUAAACUGUGAGGGGGAGUGGGAGAAAUGCCCUCUUGCAGCCAUGAGCAGAUUUAGGACACAGCAACAUGGCAAGCCGCUUAACAUCUUGAGAAGAGAGCCUGUCAGGCCGACGAUGCAGCAGACGAAAGGCAGACUUGAGCUUACACGAAGUGAGAAGCUUUACAUGGGCUUCCGGGUUGGGGUGAAAGGCUGCGGUGGCAGCGGCCAAGAAGGCUUUCUCGAGACUGGUGUCCGGGGGGUCUUGAGGUUCAACAACAUUGCUAGUGGGGGCAGCAGAUGGUGGGCAAAUCAUCAGCACAUAGCGAGUGGAAGGAUCAAUGUUAGGAUCGGCGAGCACAAGGUUGGGAUCGGCGAGCACAAGGUUGGCAUCUGCCUGGACCAGGCAUUGCAGAGCUUGAUGGAAAUCGAAGCGAUGAUAACGUGUGCAGAGGAAGGAGGCCAUGCCAUACAAGGAGCGGUUCUCCACGCGGUGGAGACCCAGCGUGCCGAUCACAUCCAGGUCCAGCUCAAGUUUCAUGGUCGGUGGGAACGCGGUGUCAUACCAGAUGGUAUUAAUGAUGAUGUUGGAGACGGGAUCAAGAGGGCCAUAGCAGUAGCCGGCCUUGAGCAGGCUGCGGUGGAAGCUAGAGCCUGCUGGCAACCAGGCGAGGGCCUGGAGGUAGAACCCAUGGAUGGCAUCCUGGAGCGUCCGGCUGAGCAAGACGGUGUGCAGGUAUGGGUCGCUGCAGGGACGACUGUGACGAGAUGCCGCGAACCGCCAUGCCCACCACACGUCCUCUUCACAGCCAGGCGGUGGUCCGUUGUUAGCCAUCCUGGUGAGCUUGCUAAUGAUGGAGGAGCGGCGGGAUGGUGGUGUCUUAAGCAUCCUUGCGAGCUUGCUAGUGCCAUGGGAGCGGUCGGACGAGGGUUUGUGCAAACAGGCGAGGAGGUGCAGAGCGUCGUCAAUGCGGCCGGAGAUGUUGCGCCAGGCAUAGACGAGACGGUCGGGGUCGGGGUGCCCGACGGCCAGCGCGGCACACUUGAGAGGGGCCAUGUCCAGGACGGCGGGCUCCGAGUCAUCAAACCUCUUCAUGCCGUGGUGCGCCACGAUGACACGGGCGGCGACGAGGGCGUCGGCGUCGGCAAGACGCAGGUAGUGCACGGCCAGGCUCUCGGCGAGGUUGGGGAACAAGCGGGUGAGGAAGGCCACCAGGCCGUCAAGCGAGCGGCGCUCCAGGUCCUCCUGUAGCACAGCAUCGCAAGUAGUAGAUCCGUGGCCGCGCUUGCGCUUGCGGGAGAAGACGAGACUGUUGAUGACGAUGUUGGAGACCGGGUCGAGGAGGCCGACGCAGAGGCCCUGCGGCCGGCGGUGCUGGCAGCGCGGGAGCCGCUUCCGCGCCUUGCGGUAGAAGGCGCCGACCUUGUGCAGCAGAUGAGAUCUGGACUCGGAGUCUUGCUCCAGUGAAGGGUACCAGUAGGAGAAACUCGGUUUGUAGAUCCGGAGGCCCGGUUGGCUUGGGUUCGGCACCAGCGCCAUCGCCCGCCGGCACACCGUCCGAGCAGGGAAUGAAGGUGGGGGUUCCGGUUGGAUUCCACGGUGGCGGCGGGCGGCGCGAUCGAGAAUAGUAUGGAAAUUAACAUGCGUAGCACGAGAAAAGCACCGAGAAGAAGAUGAUAUUUUCCUUCUCACCUUCGAGACUUCCUUCCGUUCUUGCACGGUAGGAGCAGUGAUUGAUGACCCAGCCGGCCAGCCGUCCUUCUCCGCGGAUGCAACUCCUUCUCCUCAAACGCGCACAGCUCGUCCUCGAAGGCUAGCGGAAGGGUUUGUGGCCGCUCGCGGGAGGGUUCAGAGCGGUGGCCUGGCCAUGGCUUGGUGGCCUUGUCGGGGAUGAUUGAGGAUUUGGGCGCUGGGGAAAUUUAGGGUUUGGAUUGACUGUUCGAUUCCGACUCAAUUUGCAAGGCAAACAAAGAAGAUUUUUUUUUUAACACAGAAGAUUUGAGAACCGUGUGAAGUAUAAGGGGCAAACAAAGAAGAUUUGAGAACCGUGUGAAAUAUAAGGGGCAUGCUACACGAGUCGGCCGAUUGAUUUUUUGGAAGAUUUGGACGCAGGCCGUCUGAUCUAUGAUGUUCACCAUGUCAUUGGUCUGUACGUGUUCAUAUUUUCUCUAAUUUCCCUCGUCGCAAUUGCAAUAGGACCUUUCUUGUAGAAAGCCCCUGCCGCUUGUGGCCAUCAAUAUCGCAAUUGCUACAGUAUCCGUCGUUGACUCAUGGCCGUGUCCGUCGCCGAUAAAAAGACCCUUGUUGCAACAAGAGGACCUUCGUUGCAGAAAGAAUCUCCGUUCCUGGAUCUAAGACCAGCAGGCGGCCGUUGUUGGGGACCUCUGUCGCCAUCGUCCCUGCCAAUUGUAAGCACAUCCAAACCUAGCUCCCGUCCCGAGCGCCAUCAACCUCCGCCGCCCGUCGCGUCGGCCGGCGAGCUCGCCGGAGUAUCACCCCACACACCCUUCUAGUUCUUCUUCUCCUCUCACUCAUUCUCUCUCAGCUUCCUCUCUCAUCUGCAGAUCUCCGAAACCACCUGAGCUCGGCUUCCUACCACGCCUGGCCAUGGAGCCACCUCACGCCGGCAACGGGCCUAUCCCUCCCCUGGUCGGUCUACAACAUACCACAGUUGCGUUCGAAGGGAUUUACAACAAGGACGAUGUUGACAAAAAAAACUAACCUAUGGUAGAUUGUUGUGGGUCAUCCGAUGGAAAGCGGAUCAAACGGCCAUAGAGGCGGCGCGAAAAUAAUAAUCAGGUGAGUAGAGGCGUAUUCGAAAAAUAAACUUUAUUAGCUCCAAUUUCCCAAAAAGUAAUGAAAAGGGCAUUUGGAUAUCCAACACAUAUAUCACCAUGAGCUGUUGCUUACAAAUCAUCAUAUAUGAUCCUACAAAAAAGAUCACCAUAUAUACACGGCCGCACUAAAUGGUUUUCAUUAACACUUAAUGGGCGAUAUGCAGGAGCGAGCUAUGCUACAAUUUUUUUGGUCGGCAUUUAAUGCAUCCAAUGCGCAAAAUUGUCAUCCUCACGACAACAUAAUUUGACAUGAAAAAUGUUUGAUUUGCCAUGAUUAAAUAUAUGACGUCAGAAUUUUAACAGUACUACACCAAUAUUGUUUUUCCCAAAAGUUUGGCCUAGAUGAACCAAAAAAAUGGUGUCUGUGAAAACACCAAAUCGCAUGAGCGCCGUAGUGUCAAUGUGUUAGGUCAUGGAGCCAAUCUAGCCUUUUUUGGGGGGGAGGGGGGGAGGGGGGGAUGACAAGGAUUACUAUGAUUUUUAUAUCAUAAAAUUCUAUAUUAUUUUAUUCUGUCAUCAUUAUACUCCAUCGGCACAUAUGAUAUAAUUAUGAAAAGCUGUGAGACCAAUUAUGGUUAGAAAUUUUGCACUAAAAAGUUAGUCCUUCUAAUAUGAGCGGCAUUGGUAGAAAAAAUACUAAAAUAAUCUAUAUAUUUCUCAGGUAUUCGCCCGGUCAACAUUCUUAGAUGAGCUAAAGAUCUCAUAUGUAGAUUGAAGUUUAGUUUCAAUUGAUUUGUCUUACACUCUCAGAGUUUAUAGUCUAUAUAUUUGUCCUCGUAUGGUUUGACUGAUGGGAUGGGUUAAUGUUGUUUCAUGCUAGAUAUACUUCCCUGCCGAAUGGGAAUGAAGAGAAACAAGAAAAUAUAGAAGAUAAAUAAGGAAAAGCUGAUUUUAAAAUCAGGGAUGAUAUCAGACCAGAUUUUCAAAGCAACGGUGCAUAGUUUAAAUUUGAGAAUGGUUUCAAAACUGAACCAUACGUCAACCAUACACAUACACAUGUCUCUCUCAGCCCAACCCCAACUGGACUCAUUUAAUAUUAUUUUCAACCCUACCAAAACUGAACCCAGUGUGAUUUGAACUAAAACUGAUUUAAACUCAAUACGUAAUAGUGGGUUUAAAUCCAAUACAUAACCGUUUCAAUUGUAGUUUAACACUGACAUGCCAAACUGAAUAUACAUUACAAAGGACUUGUAUUCAGAAUUGGGCAUCAAUUCAACCUUUGACAAAAUGAGAAUUAACAAAGAAAUGGCACACAAGUAACCAGAGCAUCUUUCAAGUACAGUCAAUUGAUGACCCACAAGUAUAGGGAUCGCGAUAGUCUUUGAGGGUAGUAUUUCACCCAAAUUUAUUGAUUCGACACAAUAGUAGCCAAAGAAUAUUUAUAAGCCUGAGAUAACUUUUCUAGCAGCAAUUUAUUAGUAUCACGGUAAUAUGAUAGCAGUCAUAGCAAUAGUGAUAAAGUAACGGUAGCAGCAACAAUAGUAACAAGUUUGCAGAACAGUUGCAGUGGUAACUUUAGCAAAGACAAUACAAUAAAGCAUAGGCAUGGAGUAGUGAUGGUAACCGGAUGAAAUUCAAUAUGUAACUGUCACAACAUAGAGCGAUACACAAUAGCUCCAAUUCAUCAAUCAUAUGUAGGCAUGUAUUCCGUAUAUAGUAAACGUUCUUGCGGUAAGAACCUGCAUGACAUUUUUUUUCUCCUACCCUCCCGUGGCAGCGGGUCCUAAUGGAAACUAAGGGUAAUUAAGGCAUUCCUUUUAAUAGAGAACCAGAACAAAGCAUUAACACAUGAUGAAUAGAUGAGCUCCUCAAGUUAAAGGCAUCCUCGUCGAUAUCCCAAUCAGUGUCACCUUGGGGGUCUAACGUUCAGAACAAUAACAGGUGCAUACCACUAGUAGAAAAGAGGGCUUUGGUUCAGGCCGGGUCAGCCCAUUAGUCCCGGUUCAGUCCAGAACCGGGACCCAUGGGGGCAUUGGUCCCGGUUCGUGAAGCCAGGGGCCUGCCGGGCCUCGUGGGGGCAUUGGUCCAGGUUCAUCUGGCCCUUUGGUCCCGGUUGGUGGGACGAACCGGGACCAAUGGGCCUCGCUCCUGGCCCACCACCAUUGGUCCCGGUUGGUGGCUUGAACCGGGACCAUAGGCUUCCCUUUAGUCCCGGUUCAUGCCACGAACCGGGACCAAUGAGGUGCCUAUAUAUACCCCUCGCCCGCGAGCAGAGCGUGCACUCCAGUGCUCUGUUUUUCUCUGGGCAGCCAGGGGAGGGCUUUGUGGUGCUCUAGCUCCCCUCUAUGCACAUGAGGUGUUCGAUGAAAUGCCUGAGCCACACUAGUUAAGCUUUCUCCUAUCGAAGCUCGACCUCAAAACUCCAUUUUCCUCGAGAUUUGUCUAGGUUUAGCGGCCCGUCACGUCCCAUUCCCGUCUUCAUCGCCGUCGAUCGCCCGCGCCGAUCUCGUCGCCGGCACCACCGUGGUGAGCGUCUUGUUCUUAUCUUCUUUCUGAAAGAAAAAAAUUCUUACUUUACAUAGAUACUUGUCUAAUUUUCUUACUAUUUUAUUGCUUGUUAUUAUAUAGUGCGAUGGUUUUGGUAUCCGCCCCCGUCGGCCCUCGUCCUGUCUAUGAUUCGGAUGUGGUAUAUAUUAUCUUUUUAUAACUAUUUGGUUCAUUUAUUGUUUAUGACAAUUAUGCCGACCAACGUGACAUAGAUUUUAUUUAUGUAGGAGGUAGUUGAACCGGAAAUUCCAACCGACCCUAUUGUCAAGAGGUUAAAUUUAGUUGAAGAAGAAAACAAUUACUUGAAGGAAAAAUAAAAAAAAUGAGGAGGAGAAGAUGAUAUUGGAGUUGCAUGUUGCGGAUGUCGUCGAUGAUCACAAGAUCAAGAUGGAUGCAAUGCGCUUGAAGAUUAGAAAGAUUAGAAAAUAUGCCAUUCAUACCGAGGCUUGGUAUCAUUAUGUCGUUGGAUCAAUUGUUACCUUGGUUGCGAUUAUGAUCGCAUUUGUUUUCGCAUUGAAAUGUUUUACAUAGUUUCAAUGUAUGGUUUAAUUAAUUAGAUGCUCUGGAGAGCUAUAUGUUGUUAGAUGAGAACUAUGUCUGUACUUUGGUUUUAAUGUGAUGAUGAACUUCUAUUAAUUUGGUCACUUAAUUAUCUAUUCAUGAUGUUCCGUAAUGGUUUUUGACACACUUAAUUAUAUAUAAUGCACGCAGAUGAACCGGCAAUGGAUGUACGGUGACAGACACACCUCCGAGUACAUUAAGGGCAUGCAUGAUUUUCUCGAAGUGGCUGAGGCAAACAAGCAGAAUGGUUUUAUGUGUUGUCCAUGCCCUAAAUGUGGGAAUACGAAGUCUUACUCUGACCGGAAAAUCAUUCACACCCACCUGCUUUACAAGAGUUUCAUGCCACACUAUAAUGUUUGGACGAGGCACGGAGAAAUAGGGGUUAUGAUGGAAGACGGUGAAGAAGAAGAGGACAAUGACAACUAUGUGCCCGUUGAAUACGGUGAUGCUGCAACGGGGGAAGCUGUUGAAGAUUAAGAGGAACCAGACGAUGUGCCCAAUGAUGCUGCAACAGGGGAAGCUGCUGAAGAUCAAGAGGAACCAGACGAUGUGCCCGAUGAUGAUGAUCUCCAUCGGGUCAUUGUCGAUGCAAGGACGCAAUGCGAAAGUCAAAAGGAAAAGCUGAAGUUCGAUCGCAUGUUAGAGGAUCAGAAAAAGGGUUGUACCCCAAUUGCGAAGAUGGCAACACAACGCUUGGUACCAUACUAGAAUUGCUGCAGUGGAAGGCAGAGAAUGUUGUGCCUGACAAAUGAUUUGAGAAGCUACUGAAAAUAUUGAAGAAGAAGCUUCCAAAGGAUAACGAAUUGCCCGACAGUACAUACGCAACAAAGAAAGUCGUAUGCCCUCUAGGAUUGGAGGUACAGAAGAUACAUGCAUGCCCUAAUGACGGCAUCCUCUACCGCGGUGCGUACAAGGAUCUGAACGCAUGCCCAAUAUGUAGUGCAUUGCGGUAUAAGAUCAGACUAGAUGACCCUGGUGAUGUUGACGGCGAGCCCCCGGGAAGAGGGUUCAUGCGAAGGUGAUGUGGUAUGCUCCUAUAAUACCACGGUUGAAACGUCUGUUCAGAAACAAAGAGCAUGCCAAGUUGAUGCAAUGGCAUAGUGAGGACCGUAAGAAAGACGGGAAGUUGAGAGCACCCAUUGACAGGUCACAGUGGAGAAAAAUCGAGAGAAAGUACUGGCCUGAGUUUGCAAGUGACCCAAGGAAUGUAUGGUUUGGUUUAACCGCGGAUGGCAUUAAUCCUUUCGGGGAGCAGAGCAGCAAUCACAGCACCUGGCCCGUGACUCUAUGUAUGUAUAACCUUCCUCCUUGGAUGUGCAUGAAGUGGAAGUUCAUUAUCAUGUCAGUUCUCAUCCAAGGCCCUAAGCAACCCGGCAACGAUAUUGAUGUGUUCCUAAGGCCAUUAGUUGAAGAAUUUUUACAGCUGUGGAAUGGAAACGGUGUACGUACGUGGUAUGAGCACAAACAGGAGGAAUUUAACCUGCACGCGUUGCUGUUUGUAACCAUCAACGAUUGGCCUGCUCUCAGUAACCUUUCAGGACAGACAAACAAGAGAUACCACGCAUGCACGCACUGUUUAGAUGAAACUGAAAGUAUAUACCUGGACAAAUGCAGGAAGAAUGUGUACCUGGGCCAUCAUCGAUUUCUUCCGACCAACCAUCAAUAUCGAAAGAAAGGCAAGCAUUUCAAAGGCGAGGCAGAUCACCAGAAGAAGCCCGCCAUACGUACCGGUGAUCACGUACUUGCUAUGGUCAAUGAUUUAUACGUAAUCUUUGGAAAGGGUCCCGGCGGACUAGAUGUUCCGAAUGACGCUGAGGGACAUGCACCCAUGUGGAAGAAGAAAUAUAUAUUUUGGGACCUACCCUACUGGAAAGACCUAGAGGUCCGCUCUUCAAUCGACGUGAUGCACGUGACGAAGAACCUUUGCGUGAACCUGCUAGGCUUCUUGGGCGUGUAUGGGAAGACAAAAGAUACACCUAAGGCACGGGAGGACCUGCAACGUUUGCACGAAAAAGACGGCAUGCCUCCGAAGCAGCAUGAAGGUCCUGCCAGCUACGCUCUUAUGAAAGAAGAGAAAGAAAUCUUCUUUGAAUGCCUGCUCAGUAUGAAGGUCCCGACUGGCUUCUCGUCGAAUAUAAAGGUAAUAAUAAAUAUGCAAGAGAAAAAGUUCCAAAACCCAAAGUCUCAUGACUGCCAUGUGAUUAUGGCUCAACUGCUUUCGGUUGCAUUGAGGGGGCUUCUACCGGAAAACGUCCGAUUAGCCAUUGUGAAGCUAUGUGCAUUCCUCAAUGCAAUCUCUCAGAAGGUGAUCGAUCCAGAAAUCGUACCAAGGCUAAGGAGUGAUGUGGUGCAAUGUCUUGUCAGUUUUGAGCUGGUGUUCCCACCAUCCUUCUUCAAUAUCAUGACCCACGUCCUAGUUCAUCUAGUCGACGAGAUUGUCAUUAUGAGGCCCGUAUUUCUACACAAUAUGUUCCCCUUUGAGAGGUUCAUGGGAGUCCUAAAGAAAUAUGUCCGUAAUCGCGCUAGGCCAGAAGGAAGCAUCUCCAUGGGCAGGGGCGGAGCUGGAGCAAAUGUUACCCGAUGCACCACUUUAACAAGGAGUAAAAUUUUCAAGCAACGAUGCAUUGAAUAAAUUGGCGUUUCAUAGAUUUCAGCACACAUUAUCAGACGUCAUCGAAGGCAGCGUGUAAAAAACAUAACGUAGCCACAAAAAUGCUUGUUGUAAUGAUAAAAUAAGGGAGAAAAUUAUUUGAAAUAGAUGUAUUGCAUCUCCAAAUUCCAAAAUACAUCAUCUGACAACAAGGUUCAAUAACCUACAAGAUAAAAUUAUGAUUAAACUUUUCAGUAGAACAUAAUAAAAAUUCUGAAGGAAAAAGUAUUUAAAUGGCUAAAAUCCUAAAAAUUAUAUUUAGUACGUUCUAUUCCAAAACAAUAUGCCAUAUUCUUCUCUUCGUUGUAUUCAAGCCAUAUCCCAAAUUCAUCAAACCAUUUAGUAGCAUUGAACUUUCUCUAUUUACCCCCAAAAUCCGAGGAUUGAAAAACAAAAUAUCUUGGCCGACAAAGUCCAUUCAACAAAUAUGUUCUUCUUACCAGAUCUUUCAAAUUAGGAUGAUAAUGUUCUAUCAAUUUUCUCUUGCUCGGAUCAUAUUGAAUGUCCCCUUCCCAAUUAUGUCUUCCGGAACCUCCUAUGAUGGUGCUUUUCAUUUGAGAAAAAACUUGACCAUAGUAUUUGUAUUUGACAAAUACAAAUGAGACAUUCAGACUUGUAUACAGACAAAUGAAACCCUAGCUAGAAGUUAUAACCUAGAAAUUGCCCCACGCUUUUGCCAAGACAUAGUGAUUUAUUCUAUUUGCUAUAAAUUUAUACAUAAUUGACUAUUUGUUGCAGUUUGUAAACAAAAUUAGAAAAGCAAGACAAAGGCGCUACCACAAUCGUAGCCUUCUGUAAUCUAUGGGCGCGCGUACGAAAACGAAGAUUCAAGAUUGGAAAGGUCGCCAAAUUACCGAGCUCCGGACCAGCCGACGGCGUGCGGCGUCGCUCGCGGGUAGUCACCGUCAUCGCUGCGUGGCCUGCGGCGUCCGGCGGCACCCUGCCGCUACCGCCUCUCUGUACGCGACUGCCGACGCUAGGCGUAUGGUAUGGGGCUGGCUCCGUACGCGUCUACACAAACCAGAUCGAUCGAUGGAUCGAUUAGAUUUUUUAGUGGAAGCUGGAUCCAUUAGGCUACUUGACGUAUGUUUUUUCUUGCGAAGUGUAGCUACGUGCUGGAUCGUAAGCCAAUUGUGUGUGGGCUAGUGCGGAAGCGUCGCCAGAAAGGGCCGACCCUGAUGCACUGCUCUUGGGCCACCCUGAUGCAUCGGGCCUUUUUAUUUCAUGGGUACUACUAGCAAAUUUUUGGAACCGUAUUCCUGUGCAUACGGGUCGGCCCAAUGGGCUUCGCCUCUGUCCAUGGGCCAUCAAACAGAGGAUGUCAUUGGGUUUUGUGAUGACUUCAUUCCUGGCCUUAAGAAGAUAGGUCUUCCUAAAUCGCGGUAUGAGGGGACACUGACUGGAAAAGGCACGCUUGGAGGGGACUCAAUAAUAUGCAGGGACGGAUAUUCUUGGUCUCAAGCACACUACACAGUUCUACAGAACUCUACCUUGGUGACCCCAUAUGUCGAUAAACACAAGAACAGUCUCAGAGUGGCUGAGGCAAACACCCGGAGCAGUACGACGACUGGAUUAUAUGUGAACACAUCAGGACUUUCAGCAGUUGGUUGGAAACACGUCUCAGAGAUGACAACACUAUUUGUGAUGAGCUGUACUUGUUGUCCAGGGGACCAUCUUUGACUGUAUUGACUUACAAAGGAUACGAGAUAAAUGGGAAUACAUUUUACGCGAUCGCCCAAAAUCAAAAGAGCACCAACCAAAACAGCGGUGUCAGCUUUGAUGCAGCAACCGAGAGGGGAAAGGACACAUAUUAUGGUUACAUAGUGGACAUAUGGGAACUUGACUACGGACAUGAUUUUAAGGUCCCUUUGUUUAAGUGCAAAUGGGUCAAUCUGUCAGGAGGCGAGGUACAGGUAGAUCCACAGUACGAAAUGACAAGAGUGGAUCUGAAAAAUCUUGGGUACACUGACGAACUGUUCGUCCUAGCCAAUGAUAUGGCACAGUUUAUCUAUGUGAAGGACAUGUCUACCAAACCGAGGAAAAAAAGAUAAGGAAGAGAAUACAUCAUACGAUGAGCCAAAGCGCCACAUAGUUCUUUCAGGAAAAAGGGGCAUCGUGGGAGUGGAGGGCAAGACAGACAUGUCUGAAGAUUAUGAAAGGUUUCAUGAAAUUCCUCCCUUCAAAGUCAAGGCUGACCCAAGCAUCCUGAUAAACGAUGAAGAUUAUCCAUGGUUACGACGCAAUAAGCAAAUGACACAAGCGAAGAAAAAGUGAAGACUUUCUCCCGCAACUAUUAUGAUGAUACCAUACCAACUUUGUAAUAGACGAGUAUGAUAUCAUUGUACGUUUUGUACAUGCACAUGCUAUGUGGGUGAAAUUACGAUAUCAUGCCAACUUUCAACUUUUUCAGAGUUCAUUUGAAAUGCUUUAAUGUCUUAUGGUUCUACCCUCGUAAUACCAUUAUUCUCGGUUCGCUCCUUGUCAACUAUGUUUUCACCAAGAACACUCAAGAGGGCAGCCACGUGGGCCAUUGGUCCCGGUUCGUCUGGACCUUUUGGUCCCGGUUCCACGCACGAACCGGGACCAAUGUGCCUCGCCCCUGGCCCAUGACCAUUAGUCCCGAUUUGUGCCACAAACCGGGACUAAAGGGUUGGUCCUUGUUGCGGUCAGAGUUUAGUCCCACCUCGCCAACCGAAGGGCGCUCACACCAGUUUAUAAGCCCGUCCCUCUCUACCAUGUUAAGCUCCUCUGAAAGUGAAAAUAGAUGCCCUUAUACAAGGAAUUUGACCUAAAUUCAGAGUGAAUUUCUCUGAAAUUCAUAGAAAUCUAUUAUGAAUUUAGGUUGAAUUCUCUCUAUAGGCGCAUCUAUGCUCAUUUUUUAGUAAAGUUAAUCACAAACUUGUGAUUCACACAAAUUUCAAAGAAUUCAAAUUUUAACUAUUCAAAUUUGAAAAGUAAUGGCACUAACAGAAAGUUUAUAUUUUUUCUAAAACUAAUGGCACUAACAAAAAGUUUAUAAUUUUUCUGACCUAAAAGCAAAAAGAAUUAAAAAAUAAAGCAAAAAACAAAAGAAAAUAAAUAAUGCAAAAAACAAAACAAAAAAACUGGAAAAAAACUAUUUUAUAGUAAAGUUAAUCACAAACUUGUGAUUCACACAAAUUUCAAAGAAUUCAAAUUUUAACUAUUCAAAUUUGAAAACUAAUGGCACUAACAGGAAGUUUAUAAUUUUUCUAAAACUUAUNNNNNNNNNNNNNNNNNNNNNNNNNNNNNNNNNNNNNNNNNNNNNNNNNNNNNNNNNNNNNNNNNNNNNNNNNNNNNNNNNNNNNNNNNNNNNNNNNNNNNNNNNNNNNNNNNNNNNNNNNNNNNNNNNNNNNNNNNNNNNNNNNNNNNNNNNNNNNNNNNNNNNNNNNNNNNNNNNNNNNNNNNNNNNNNNNNNNNNNNNNNNNNNNNNNNNNNNNNNNNNNNNNNNNNNNNNNNNNNNNNNNNNNNNNNNNNNNNNNNNNNNNNNNNNNNNNNNNNNNNNNNNNNNNNNNNNNNNNNNNNNNNNNNNNNNNNNNNNNNNNNNNNNNNNNNNNNNNNNNNNNNNNNNNNNNNNNNNNNNNNNNNNNNNNNNNNNNNNNNNNNNNNNNNNNNNNNNNNNNNNNNNNNNNNNNNNNNNNNNNNNNNNNNNNNNNNNNNNNNNNNNNNNNNNNNNNNNNNNNNNNNNNNNNNNNNNNNNNNNNNNNNNNNNNNNNNNNNNNNNNNNNNNNNNNNNNNNNNNNNNNNNNNNNNNNNNNNNNNNNNNNNNNNNNNNNNNNNNNNNNNNNNNNNNNNNNNNNNNNNNNNNNNNNNNNNNNNNNNNNNNNNNNNNNNNNNNNNNNNNNNNNNNNNNNNNNNNNNNNNNNNNNCGCCACUGCUGCCCCGCAUCGCCCCGACACCGUCCCCUGCCCCGCGCGCCACCACCUCUGCCUCAGGCCGGCCCUGACCUUGCUGUCGCCGAUGCCACCCAUAGUGAGCCCCCGCGCCCUGCCCUUCCCCCUGCCGCCACCGCCGUCGUAUGAUGUUUUUUUCAAUGGAUGUAAUGCUUUUUUCAUAUAUGUUCAUGUAUAUAUGUUGAUGUAUGGAUAUAUGUAUGAUUUUUUUGCACUAUUUGUUUUCUUUUGUAUGUAUGUAUGUAUGUAUUUUUUUCAAUUGUAAUGAUGUUUUAAAAAUACAUAUAUGCAAAAGUUAGAUUUUUAGAAAAGUAUUAUAUAUAUGUUCUCUCAUUUAGUAAGUAUUAGGUUAGUUUCAUUUUUAGAAAAGUUUUAUAUAUUUAGGAAGAAGGAAUAGAAGGAAGAAGAAGGAAGACGAAAAAGUUGUAUAUAUAUAUAUGCAAAAGUUACAUUUUUAGAAAAGAAGAAAAAAAGAGGAGAAGAAGAAAGGAAUAGCUAUUCCUUUCUUCUUCUCCUCUUCUAUUCCUUUCUUCUUCUCCUCUUUUUUUCUUCUUUUUUUAAUUCUUAUUUUUUAUCGGGUAUGUCGUUGUCGAUAUACCCCGUGUCCCGAUAACUUCAACACGAGGGGGGGUUCGACCUACCCCCCUCCCCNNNNNNNNNNNNNNNNNNNNNNNNNNNNNNNNNNNNNNNNNNNNNNNNNNNNNNNNNNNNNNNNNNNNNNNNNNNNNNNNNNNNNNNNNNNNNNNNNNNNNNNNNNNNNNNNNNNNNNNNNNNNNNNNNNNNNNNNNNNNNNNNNNNNNNNNNNNNNNNNNNNNNNNNNNNNNNNNNNNNNNNNNNNNNNNNNNNNNNNNNNNAAAAUGUCGGUCUCCUACCCCCUCCCGCCGCGCCCCUACCCUUGAAGCGUUGCCGAGGCCACCCAAAACCCGGAAUAAGCUAGGUCUAUGUUUGCCACUAAUAUAUCCACAUGUUGUCAUGUUUGUGUAAUAAUUGCCAUGUUGUAAUAUUUGCAAAAAUAAUGGAGCACGGACGAGACGAGGAAGCAGAAGAGGUGUUGGGGGACAUAAUCUUAGCCAGAGGUAAUGUCUUGUCGUAUCUUAAUGACAAUGAUGGUAUGGAAGAACAGUGUGAAGAAGCAGGCUAUCAUGAUCAAAUAAUGGAGGAGGAAAGAUAUGAUUAUGAUGGAUCCGGUGACCCAAUGCUGGUGCAAGAAGGAGCCCGUGGUGACGGCUCCGGUGACCGAACAGAGUCCGGCCAGGUAAAUAUAUUAGUUAAGCCUGUGCUGCCUAGCUAAUUAAUGCAUUCAUUAUAUUAAUUAACUCUAGUCUUUCUUCUUUUUUCUAGCCCAACGGAUCAAGCACAACUUCGGUAAAGAGACGAGACCCAAAGAAAAAGUUGCGCUCGGAUGAAAGGUUUGAGAUCACAGCAAUCGCGCGCGACGGCCAACCGAUUGAACCCAUCCGGACAAAGGAAGCAUUUGCUGCUCAGUGCGGGGUUCUUGUUAGGGACAAGAUCCCGAUCAGCAUCCACCAAUGGUAUAAGCCUAAGAACGAAGACCCUGAGGUGUCUUAUAUUAAUGAUAUGCAGAAAGAUGAUCUUUGGACUGAGCUGAAGGCAAAUUUCACCCUACCACCAGAGGAAGAUCCGGAGAAGCCAGUUAAAGAGCAAUUAAUCAAGUCUCAUGCUCUUAAGAAGAUGGCAGACCUAUUCAGGAGGUGGAAGAAUGAGCUAAAAACGUUUGUCGACAAAGAAGAGACACCAGAAUUCAUCGGCAAAUAUGAGAAGAUCAGAGAUCACUGCCCCGCGUUUGUGGCCCACAAUACAUCGGAAAAGAGCAAGAAGAUGUCGGCAACAAACAAGAAAAAUGUUGCGAAGAAGAAGCUUCACCAUCGCACGGGGUCAGGUAGCUACCUCAAAGCCCGGCCUAAGUGGGCCAAGGCUGAGAAUGAUCUGCUUGAUAAAGGGAUCGAACCAGAUACAAUGAACUGGCCAGACUGUUGCCGGACUUGAUUCUUCGGGGCUAGCGGAACCUUGGACCCUUUAUCAGGGAAGUACGUUUGGACGGACGAGCAAAUGAGAAUACCGGUCAAGAGGCUUAAGCACUAUAUCGAUGCAGCGCAGCAAGGGACGUUCAUUCCAGACAGAGAGAACAACGAGCUCACAAUGGCCCUCGGGAAUCCUGAGUACCCUGGACGGACACGAGGCACGCCAGGCUUCGUUCCGUGGAAGGCUGGUUUUCCGGACGCAGGCGGUUACAAAUGCCAGGAGAGGAGGAAAAAAGUGGAGCAUGCCCAAAUUCAGACGUUGCACGAAAGGGUCCAAGCGAUAGAGGAACGAGAAGUAGCUCGCAGCAAGCGACUUGCCGAAACUACCCCCGAAGCUACCCCGUCAUCUCAGCGGAGAAGCAGCGUGGCUUCCACCGAGCUGCUUCAGUCGGAGCAUGUCUUGAUGGCUCCUGCUAGCUACCCCGUGGAUACUAUCACGGAGUCUCAACAUUGCCACCUUAUGACGCAAUGGCAGAACUUCAAAGUCAAGGCGGUUGUCGGCUCUGUUCGGCCUCCUGAACCCGGCGCAACUUUUCACUGUCGUCCGAUUCUAGAAGGAUAUGCCAGGGUGACGGUGGACGAAGUAACGGAGGGAUUUGAGGACCUCCAGCUUGACCACCCUACCUGUGAAGGGGAGACUCGGCUGGGUUCUUGUCUAUUGACUCCAUGCCUAUAUCGGAAGGAGCUCAUCAACCUUCUAAACUGGACGCCUCCGCCUCCUCCUCCUCCGGCAAGUCAGGGCACUCCGCCUCCUCCUCCGCCUCCUCCUCCGGCAACUGAUCAGGGCACUCAGCCUCCUUCUCCGGCGCGUGGCGGCACUCCGCCUGCGCCGGCGCGCCCGAGCAGCCAGCCUCCUCCUUCUCCGCCUCGUCAGCAAGGGCGGAAGAGACCCGCCGCCGCUCCGGCUGCUCCGGCGCGGCGUAGUCCUUCUCCUCCGCCUCGUAAGCAAGGAAAGAAGACAGCCGCAGCCGCUCCAUCUACUCUGCCGGCGUCUAGCAGUACAGCCAGAGGCGGGAGGCAAUACAGAUUCGGUCCUUCUCUGAAGACUCCAGAGAAGUUACCAUACGAGAGGACCCCGGAGGAGAACGUGAAGAUCGCGCGAGCCGAAGUGACGAACUUCUUUCAAGGGUUGAAAGCAAAGAAACAUCCACCUCCGGAGGAGAAGGUAGAUCCGGUGAAAGCGAAGCGCACUCUGGCUGCCCUGAAAAAACCACCAAAGUCUCCGCCGAAAGGCAACUAUGAGCGCAUUAUUGCAAAGACAUUUGUCGAAGCGGAGCGGUCGGGAAGUACUGUCAGUGAUCAAAGGAUAAAAGAACAACGACCUGGGGAAAAAUUGCCCAGCUCCGCGAACAAGCGAACCAAUCGUGCCCCCCGCUCAAGGUGUCUAGCGACAUCGUCGCUAAUGAUCCGAGGAUGGUGCCCGGUUAUAGCAAUCUUGGAGAUUACCUGCCCGAUGAUGUACAUUAUGAUUUCUUGGAGGUGGAGGAACACAAAUACGAGUACGGGAAGCCUCUUGUCAAAGAUGAAAGAUCUCUAACAACGAUGAUGCGAAGAUUCCAUGAUUGGUACAUGAAAACCUGCAGAGAGUCUGGGGGGAGGAAUACUUUGACGCUGAGAGUUAGAGAGGAGCAUGACCUCGUUGGAAUUGAACUGUUGAAUGUUCCAUUUGAGGAGUUCUUCCAGUUUUUCAAUCAAAAGGCCCUCGAUAAAGCAACGGUCACUUGCUACUGUCUGUAAGUAGUACUACUUCUGUCAUUAAGUUUCUCUAUAUAGGUCAACUCUUUCAUUGCAUGUAUUUAUAAUUAUCCUCACUAUAUUAUGCAGAUUGAAGAUCGCCGAAUUGAAGAAAAGACAAAUCGGUGAUAUUGGGUUCAGUAACACAAAUCUCAUAGAUGCAACUGAGGUUAAAUAUCGUGCCAAAGAUACCGAGGCCAACUUGCUACGAUCGUUGGUGAUAAAUGAAAACAAAGAUAUAAUACUCUUUCCUUACAACUUCAAGUGAGUGUUACUGUCUUGUGCAUAUUCGGUUUCCCUUAUUAGUCCAGGUUAUAGUAAUGUAAUUGAUGAGUUAUGCAUGCGUGCGCAGCUUCCACUAUAUUCUCCUAGAGAUUAAGCUUGAGCAGGGACUAGUAACUGUCUUAGACUCGAGACGAAAAGAUCCCCAGGACUAUGCGGACAUGACUCAAAUGCUCGAGAAGUAAGUUAAAUCAAUCAUUAUCCACCAUAUCAGCAACUUUAUUCAUUUCCUGAUAUCAAGUAAUUGUUUUCUUUGUCUGGUAGGGUUUGGAGAAAAUUCACCAAAAAAGCUCCAGGACUGCCGAAGAAGCUGCAAUUUAGACACCCGAAAGUAAGUACUAUAGUAACAUGUUCCGCGCACCUCCUAGUGAUUCAAGCGCUAGUUUCAUCAAUACCAUUUGGCAUUCUUGCUUAUCAGUUUGACUGACCUCUAUUUCUUGUAAAGUGGUUGUGGCAAAAACAAGGGAAUGAUUUCUGUGGAUACUACGUUUGCAAGUCCAUCCGCCACAUGACCUGUGAACGGGGGUACUCUGACGAACAAUAUGAAGUGCGUAAGCAAUAAUAUUCACAAUUUUAUUUUAUUACCAUCAUUUGUAUUGAGUUUCAUUUAUUCAUAUAUAUAUAUAUGUAUUGACCCCCUUGUUCAAAUUAUAUCUUUCGGAUGCGGGAUGAACUCCUACCACCAGAUUGUAUGCGAGCAAUUCAAGAGGAAUUGGUGGCAUUCUUCCUUGACCACGUGAUCGCUGAAGACAGAGAAUACUAUGUGGACCCUGUGUUCAUAUAUAAUUAGGAGAUUAUAUUGUAAGAGAUAAUUAUUGUAUAUAUGUAGCCGGUAGUGUCGGAUAGAUAUACGCGAACUUGUUGUUCGACCAAUCUCUCGGAGAAGGAGAGGUGGUCGAUAUCACUUCUCUCUGUAUGCAUAUGUUCAUGACGAUCUUCUGUUUUCUUCAUUUGCUUACUAGCUAGCGUGUUUAGUCCUCUCUAUAUAUACGUAUAUAUAGCGUCGACCAAGCACGGACACAAGAGAGGACACUUCUCUCUAUUAAUUAGCUAGUUAACACAAUAUAUGAAACACCUAAAUUAAACCCCCAAAAACCCCAACCCCCCCCCCCUUCAAAAAAAAAAACCCAGCCCCUGAAAUGCUGACGCGUGGAUGCCUAUUGGUCCCGGUUGGUGCCACCAACCGGGACCAAAGGCCCUCCUGCCUGGGCUCGGCGCACCGGCCACGUCGAGGCCCAUCUGUCCCGGUUCGUGUAAGAACCGGGACUAAAGGGCUAGGGCAUUAGUAACGACCCUUUAGUCCUGGUUCACAAACCGGGACAAAAGGCCCUUACCAACCGGGACAGAUGACCUUUUUUCUACUAGUGUACAACUUGCAGGUAAGAUCAAGAACACAAAUAUAUUCAUGAAAGCAUAACAUGUUCAGAUCUAAAAUCAUGGUUCUUGGGCCCUAGUGACAACCAUUAAGCAUAACAAAGUCAUACCAACAUCAAUCUAAGAACAAAUCAUGUCAAUUUGUUACGGCUUAAUCCCUAGUAUCCACUAUGUUGCCCUAACAAAUUGACAUAAUUGCAUAUGAAAUCUCAUCCAUCUCCACCUACCUCCAGUAUGCCUACAAGGGGAUUACUCACAUAUGAUUGUGAGCAUCAUGAAAUUGUUGAUAGAGAAGGGUUGGUGAUGACGAUGAUGAUGAAUCCUUCCCUCCUGACCCACGAAGGGACUCCAAGUCAGGGCUUCCGAUGAAGAACAGGAGUUGGCGGGGGCUCUGUAUCAUAAAACGCAUGGGAACUUUCUAAAUUUUUUUCUCUCGGGAAGAUGGACCGCUAGAAUUAGGUCGGGAAGGGGUCCAAGGGACCCACAAGCCUGCUCGGCGCGCCUUGGUGGGUAGGCAUGCCUCCAAUAUUUUUCAUUUAUUUCAAAAUAAAUCUCUGUAAAGUUUGUCCAAUUUUGAGAACUUUUUAUUUCUCCACAAAAACAACAAGAAGGUAGUUCUGCUAAAAACAAUGUCAGUCCAGGUUAGUUUCACUCAAAUCAUGCAAAUUAAAGGUCAAAACAAGAGUAAAAGUGUUUGGAAAAGUAGAUAUGUUGGAGAUGUAUCAUCAAUCGUAAUGCAUCAGGAAUCCACAUGCUCUAAACAGAGAUGGGCUAUCAAACAGACAAUCUAUGUAAUGGUGAAGGAUGCAUGGCCAUAACUGAAACCUAACAAGUGUGUCCAGAGCACAUGGCAACUGAUCGUUCAUGAAGAAGAUCGUCACACUGGUCGAGGCACAGGAACCCAAGAAUAUGUGAACCGCCAAGACCUGCAACACAUCAUUCAGGCAAAUACGAUCCCAACAACAUGAACAACAUAUAUAUCAAUGAACAAGGAAUAUUAUUCCUAUUGUAGAGUGAAGACCUACACUUCAACAAUAUACAUAUAUAUAUAGUGCUUCCCAUCAUGCAUGGUUUUUUACAUGUGAUUUUUUAUUAAAUCCACAUGCAUAUGACAUAGAAAGCAAAAGUUAGGUCAUAUGAAUAGCAAGUAGGUAAUGAGGAACUGAAAACAACACAAACAAUAUAAAUAAACAAAUAAUGCAUCCAUGGAGAACAAUAAUACAUUGUAUUGUACUUUCCAUCAUGCAUGUUUUUUUCACAUGUGAAAGAGAAACAUCUACUCCCUCCGUUCCUAAAUAUUUGUCUUUCUAAAGAUUUCAACAAGUGACUACAUACGGAGCAAAAUGAAUGAAUCUACAUUCUAAAAUAUGUCUACAUACAUCUGUAUGUUGUAAUCCAUUUGAAAUACCUAGAAAGACAAAUAUUUGGGAAAGGAGGGAGUAUUAAAUUUGUAUUCAUAUGAUAGGAAGGCAGAAGCUAGGUAGUAUUAACAGCAAGUAGGUUAUCAAGAACUUAAAACAGCACAAAAAUUAUAAAUAAACAACUAACAUCAUUCAGUAUUCCUUACUCGUAUAGUAUCCGAUUAAUUAAGCCAAUCCACCACUUGGGUGAUAUCCAUUCAUCUCUUUAUAUUUCUUCUCCAAAUCCAAGGGAGUCACUUGUGGUGUGGGUGAUUCAGGAUUUUUUUUCCUUCCAUCAAGUAUUUGACCUUUCUCAUCACCCCAUUUGUUUGUCACAGAGAAGUGCUACACGUAAUUUUAUAAAACACAAAUGGUCAUUUCCAAGAAAUAAGACAUAGUUACCUUAAAUAGCAAAAUAAACACAGCUUAAUUUCCUUGGUCCCUAAUUCACCUAACAAACUUCGAUAAUUAGCACUGAUAUGGUCUAGACAGAAAUCAAAAUCUCCUUUAUAUUACAAUAAAAUAAAAAGAUUGGUAUAAGAAGAAAAGAAUGCAAUGGUCAAAAGGAUUAAAGACAGGGUAAUGGAGAAAGGACAUGAAACGGCUAAAAAAAGUAGCAUGUAAACAAACACACCUUUUAUUUGCAACCACAACCACAUAUGAAAGAGGGUGUGUGAAAAAAAAUCAUGAAACACACCUUCCAUCAUACUUCUCUUUUAUAAGUAAAUUUUUCUCGACCAUUUAUAAUAAACCUUUUUACUUCUUAGUAUCUCAACUUGACUAAUUGCAUGCUUGUUAAUUGAGAUAAUAUAUGAGAUAUUUAUGUUAAGGAAUAUUCUCAUUUAUAACUAACAUCAAUAUAUGUAUUAUGCAUUGUGCUAAACCAAAAUUAUAUUGUGUCACAAUUAUUUAAGUCUGAAAUGUUAAGAAAAACUUUCACUAUAAUGAAUUAUGCCUUAAAUAUUAAAGACAACAUACUCCUUAAUAUAUGCAACUUACGCAUUUGUAUGUAGAAUUAAAUAUCUAAAAAAACUUAGUAGAGUGGUCAAAUCGAUGGAGUCACCUGGUAGAGAUUUCUAGACUGUGACAAUUGACCUUAACUGGGGUUAAUUGGAUAAGUGCCACUCCAAUUAUGGCAAUUCAAAAAAAUUCAUUGCAAUUUCCAUACGUUCAUAAAUAACAAAUCUCACUGCAAUUUCCACACUUUGAAAAUUGUCAAAUCAACUCUCACAUAUAUCGAUAGAUGCCCCUGCAGCCACUUGACUUCAUGUAUUUUCAUUCGGACAAAAACGCCCCUGCCCCAACAUACUCAUCAAAAACAGAAAAAGAAAUGAACCCAUCCCAGUACAUCACUCCUCCUCCUCAUGUGCUCCUCUAAUUUAGCUAUACCGCAAAGAACUGUAGGAAGGGCACCGCUGCCACAACUCUUCCCACCGGCGCCCUACAGCUCCAACUAUCGCUGCCUCGAAGCCCCACGAAGAAAACUUCUUCGUCACGUACUCCAGCCGUCACGGCCACCCCGCCGACCUGCAGCCCCAGCCACUGUUGUGCUACUCAACACCAACCACUUCUACACCCCGUCCUCCGCAUCAUUGCCACUGCAGUUGCGGAGGCAACCGUAUCGUGCAAAAGCAACAUGGCCUGAAGAGGUGUAGCUGGACGGAGCUCCUCGUUGUAUGCUUCUUCGAGCAACAAGAAGGGCGGCGGAGACGGCGGUGGGAGUGGUAGUCGAAAGGAGGAUCUAACCUAUGGUUUUUUGUGCUUUUGAUCUGUAUAUUAUAACUUUAUUAGUACAACAUUAAAUCAAGUCUCCACCAUUAUUUGUCUCUUGUUCUAAUAAUAUAUCCGAAGAUCUACACUGUAAUAACUCGUUUACACCAAAUUAAUGCUUGUAAUUUCUGAUUAACAUGGGAACUUUCAGGGAGUCUCUGAUUAGUAUAUGUAUAGAUAGAUUAGGUACCUGCCCAUUUUUAAUCAGACAAAACAUUGUAAUGUAGAAGUACGAAGACAACAUGUCAUUGAUACGUCCAUUUUGCAUCAUUAUUUUCUACUAUAAUUUAUUCUAUUUCAAUUAUAUAUUUAACAUUAUGAUGAAAUUCUAAUGUAUUUUCUCUCUUAAACUAUAAGAAAUGCAAAGAGAGGGGAAUUGUUGGACAACUGGAAAUCUGGACCUAAAAUGCAAUGAAAGAAAAAACAAUUUCCCAGAGCUCCAAAUGCAACAUGGAUUUUUGGGGAAUUAUUUUAGAAUAUAUAAGGAUUUAUGGAGUGAAGAAGUACCAUAGGGGACCCACCAGACCCCCACACGGCUUGGUCGCACGGCCUACCCCCUAAGCGCCAUGUGGCCCUGUGGGGCCGUUGUGGCUCUCGUCCCGACAUCAUUUGACUAUAAAUUCUAUUUUGCUCUAGGAAAAAACAUAGAAAACCCUUGAUACUUUCCGCCUCCAUCUGCGAGGCGGAGCACUUUUGCUCUACGGUGGAGCGAUUCUGUGGGGGAAACUUCCCUCCGCAGGGGGGGGGGGGAUCGAAGCCUUCAUCAUCACCAACAAUCCAAUCAUCGGGGGGAUUGUCAUCUUCAUCAACAUCUUCACCAGUACCAUCUCAUAUUCAAACCGUAGUUCUUCUCUUGUGUUCAAUCUUUGUAUCAAACCUCAUAUUGGUUCAUGUGAGUACUUGUGUGUGUUGAUUACACAUCGUAGUUGAUGCAUAGGAGAAGUAUUGGUGAAAGAUCUUUCAUUUAUCUUGCUAUCAAACUAUCUAUCAAAACCAUCUUUACACCAUUUGUAGUGAAACAUUGCUGAAAACUGAUUGUAAAUUCUUUCUGCUCCUCAUUGGGUUAGCCACUCUUACUUAUCAAAAAGACUAUGAUUGAUCCCCUAUAUUUGUGGAUCAUCAAGACUCUUUUCUAACACUGUUGCCAGGGAGUGUAGAGCGCUCUUGGUAUGUGGAAUUUGGUAAGGACAACUUUUAUCGUACGUGUUGUUUUUUGUUUUCGUCUGCUAUUAUGGAAACUAAUCCUUUAAUAUGCUUGUUUGGGGUGACCACUCCACGUGCACAAGUGGUUAGGAAGGAACCUCCACCUACUAAAAAUAUUUCUUUUGAAAUACAUGUUGACAUUCUUGAACAAGUGAAAAAUAACCGUUAUGCAGGAGAUGGAAUUGUUCAUCUUGAUAUGCACUCGUUAUUUAUGAAAGAAUUAUGUGGUCUAAUUGAGUUUUCAAGCUUGACAAAGAGAGAAGUAAAGAAGAAGUUGUUCCCUUUAUAUUUGGAGGAAAAUGCAUUGGCAUGGUUGGAUAAUUCUUACUCAUGGGACUGGAAGCGACUGAAAAAUGUUUUUCACAAUCCUCCACCAUCGCCAUCAAUGGUACUACCAGAGCUAGAAGAUACACCAAGUUCACCAUAUCCACCCCCUCCUACACUAUAUUGACUGGAAGGCUGAGCCGACACCGGAUCCAUUACCACCAUAUUGGCUACUGCCACCCCCUCCACCUCGAGCUCCAGCGCUUGCAUGUGUGCCACUGCUAGAACUCUGGCCAGAUCCAGUUUCAGUCCCAGAACAUGAGCCAGCACCACUCACUUCUCCACCACCCCCUCCCUCUGCCUAGCCUGUUCCUUCAGAGCUAGAGUUGGAGCCUCCCUCCCCAUGGAUCUCCCUGCUCAUUGAAGCAUUGGCUAAUCCAGUGCUCAAGAGGGCAAUAAAACCGAGAGAUGCUAGUUUUGUGUCUACCAUUCUGAGAGCUCAAGAUGAUGUUGGUUCCUAGUGAAAGCUUCCGUCUGGAUAUUUAUACAGUAAUGCUAUAUAUCAUGGGUGCCAUAGCAAAUGGCGAAAUCUUAUUAACCACAUUCGUGCGUGCAUGCAAGCAGCCUGAUCAUAUUGAGGCUCCAGCAUGCAUCCCCGAAAAAUGAUCUACAAGGUGUAAAUGUUGAAACACAAAUUAACCUAAGAAAUGAUCGCUGAAGUAGCUAAUUGUUAAAGUAGCAACAAAUCCAGAAUCUAGAAAAUCGUAUAUUUUCUUAAGAUGGCAUUCAAGGUUCUUAAGAUGGAGUAUGUUAUUAAACCUUGGGAGACGAAUUAACACUAAUUAUAUGGUGGAUCUGCAGUGACAGCUGAAGGAAGUGACAGCUGAAGGAUGUAAAUAAGGGAGCAGGAAAGAAAGCAAGUUCAUUAAUCUUCCACCACAGCUUGAUGCUUCUUCACAGACAUAAACCAGUCAUUUAACUUACAUAACAUCGACCAAACACAGAUACAAAACCAAAGUACGAAAUCGCCAUCUCAUCCCUACUAAAAUAGACCAGCCAGGUUAACUCAGCAGAGUCCCAUCACUCCAACCGGAUAAAGAUCCAUCUGCCUUCUGUAUAGCUA